UAGCGGAGGUAAAUGAAUCAACUAACAAAGGCAUCAUUUUCUACCACGGGCUUGAUCUGGUGCCACCUAAAUUGUCCUAAUAUUCUCCUGCUAGUAUAUAAGUUCCAGAACAGAAAAGUGGAAAACAACUAUCCCAACUACAAAUUAAGAGGAUCAAAUAAAAUCAGAAGUUCACUAUUUCAGAUCUUAUUCUAUGUUCAGAUUAAUUUAUAUAUAGAAUCAUAUUUUUGAACACUUAUAUAUAUAAACAUUGAUCAUGUGUCUAAUGCCUAUCCUCACUGCCUGCUACCAUUGCUGAUGUGAGCCCCAUAUAUUCCCCCAUCCUUAGCGAUGAAUGUUGUGUUUCCUAGCCACCUCGAACACUUGCACCACCAAAUCGUUGUCCUCCCCACUUCUCACACGCUUUUUUUAAAAUAUGUACCCAUUUGUUUUUCAAAUCUUGAGAUUUGUACCUGUAGGCAAUGAUGUAAAGCAAUAAUGUUCAUUUAAAGCAUACAAUUUUAGCAAAUUGUAAGCAUAUCAAUGUGAUGUACAAUAGGAAGUCGGUGCUACAAAAUGGAAGGAACUAUAUAGGAAUAAGUAAUCGUAAUUCAUAAGAUCUAUUUCAUCCUCACAUCUCUUCUUAUGGCAUGAUAAACAGCCUGGACCUGAACAACAACCAAAGUAACCUUGUACACAUGGAAGUAAAAUUUCUACAAAUGGGAAUCUAGGUGGUUAAGUAGAAUAUAUUUGAGCAUUACAAAACAGGGUGCUACCUCCUCAUUCGAAACCACAAGAAUCCUCCCCAAAAACAUUCCCCCUAGUAGAUAUUUUCCGACUUGCUUCGCGAUGUACAAACCAAAUUGAGAUGUUAUCUUAAUUAAAACUAACGUUCAUUUAUUUGUAUGGCAAACGAAACAUAUACACAGAACCAAAUACUACAAUAAACAGCUAGCUAUGCUCACAAGCUUGUGACCAUAAAUAUAUAUGGAUUAUUUAUCCAAAAGUCCGUGGUGUUAAGAAAGAUGUUAUAUUGCGCAAAGACAGUUCCCACAUCAAAUCUAUGGCGCAUAUGUUACCACAUAUUGUUGGGGUACACAUUUUAUAUACUGGAAACAAGCCGUAGACAAAAGAAACUCCUUUAUCAUCACUCCAUGAAAUAAAAAAACACAUGACGAGGAGAAUUACCAUCGUAAUAUUAAACCUGAAAACAAACGGUCUUAGUUACAUAGAAGUCAGCAAGAAUUAGAAACAUUGGAGCUAAUUAGUUAACCAAUUAAAUUUUCCCUGAGACACUAAUCAAACCAUAAAACUCUCAAUACAAGUCCACUAAUUACUUAAAUUAGCAUAAGGGUUUUAAAAAAAAAUCUCACCUAUUGACUCCGGCACACGUUCGAAACGUGGAAAGAUCAACAGACUUGUUGGGCAGAUCGAUCUUGCCGCAGUUGGUCCACUAAGAAAAUCAUAAUGCCACACUUGGUGUAAACUGCAGGGGGGAAAGAUAUUUCAGCUAGAACCAAUAUUUUUAACCUGAUGCACUGAUAAGAGAACACGCAGGAAGCCGGUUAAGAAAAACUAAACCACAUGCGUUUUAUACAGACCGUGCACACACUAUUGAUACAGAGCCGACCCAUCCGUCUUGAAUCUUUCUGAAAUUACAAUCCAAUUAAAUAUAUAAAACCCAGUAUGGUACUAAAUAUCCAACUAUCUGGAUUUCUCUACAAACAAUCUCAACUUGGAACCAGUAUAGUCUGAAAACUUUACUGGUAGGAUUGAGAAAACAUAGGUACCUUGAUCACAUGGAUUUUGCUCUGCGGCGUUUGCUGGAAAUCCCUAAUUACCGGCUAGAAAAUUCUCACCCACUCCAAGCCACACAAACUGUUCUUCUCACCCUCAGUCCUUCUUCAGAUGCACACAUUCGUCAUUUGGUUAAAUGAUAGAAAAAAAUUGCAUGAACAAUCAAUGUAUAUACCUGAAUUAAACAGUAGCUACAAUGGUCACGCACUUCAUCUUCUUUUCUAUUCGAGUGGACACCAGAUCAAGCUAGUUGAUGGUGCUCUGAAAGUCAAUGUACAUCUGAUACACCACGUUGAUGAUUUUUUGCUGUUUCAUGGGCCACACUAUUGCUAUCUCAUGCAAAUCUCCCGUAGAUUUCCUCUGAUCCGACCCAAAUCUGAUACACCAUGCAGCCUAACAAAGCAAGAAAAUGCACCAAACUGAAAUCAUGUUUUGCAUAAGCAGAUUAUAAGAUAAUUUUGAAGGGUUCUGUGUAAUAAACAAUUUAAAGCAGCACAUGCAUGUCGGAGGACCAUAUAUUGACGAAUACAAUACAUAACACUGUACUCUGAAAGUCAAUGUCGUUGUACUCACUUAUUUCCUCUUACAGCAAAUACAUAGUGAUGAAUUAAUGUAGGCGAUCUUUACUUUAAUCCAUAUGCUGUGUUAUUAACUACAUGAACAUGAGAAACUGAGACUCAAAUAUUUCUUUUGUGCCAUUGCAAACCUAGUUAGGUCUCUUCUCUCCAAUAAUCAAAAGAGAAUACAUGCAUCUAAAGAAAGCACAUACAUACCUCCAGUUAAGACCAUCUAAACCAUUCGGGCAAAAAUAUGUAUAGUCAUUGAUCAGCUAUACAUGCCUGAUGCAGCCGCAUGGCUUCGUUUCUCGUGUUCUCCUCCACCUGACCAUCGUCGCCACUCCCCACCAUUGCAUGUGCCAAGUUCGUCCUCGUCACACAUGCUUGUAUUAUGUUCGCUGACACAGGAAUAGUGAUCUCCACGCCCGCCCUUACCCACUCGUCGGGCCCCUACUAAACGCAUCUCCGCGUGCGCCCUCGCCACCAAGUGCCUUUCAGCGACACAGAGAGAGACUACGCCAUCGCACGUGCUUAAUCAAGAUCAAAUUGUAAAUUAUGUCGAUGUUCAUUGAUCAAGCCUUACCAUCAGUCCUACAAUUGCAAUCCACGUACAGUGCAGAUCCUACACCGCACACAAUUUCACACACAACCACAAAAUGCAGUCCAAAAAAUAUGGUCAAACCAGACCAAUGAUUCUCACCAAGAUGCGCACAGGCUUGAUUCAGACCGCAUCGGCUCAUGCAUCAACAAGGCGCUGCUCCAUCUCCUAUAGACAUCACAUUAUGAGAUGCUAAGAGUUAGUGAGAGUUUGGGGUAUCAUCGUCACUCAUGUGCUCCACCUACUUGCUCCUCAGAAAAAACAUUGCACACACAGAUUGGAAGAACCAAAUCAAUUUUGGUACUGAUUUGUCCACGUUCGAAGGACUUCUGUCACCAGAUCAUAAUUUUCUUGCUUCACACAUGAGGCUGCACUACAGAAUCUGCAAAGCAACGGAAUCAGUUGGGCAUUUAUUUAUGAUAAUUAACUCGCAAGAUGGAUGGAUGCAGCUGCUCACGUACCUGAUCCUGGUGGCCGGCGGCUUCCGCAGAGCUGCUUUACCUGCGUACAACGGCGACAAAUAGAUGACAUGAAUUUAAUUUACGUUUUGAGGUGCCAUGUGACGUCAACAACGGAGGGGUCAUGGCCGUACCUGUCGUCGAUGACGAAGCGGGGGUCAGGGCCAACGGAGCCCAAGAAGUCGCUGAAGAAGGCCACCGCCAGGUCUUGCCCUAUCAUGGACUGCGUCGCCUCGGAAGCCGGGGACACCAGGUCUUCUUACACGCACACCUCGCUAGGUCCCCUUCGCCACGUUCGGACUCCACAGGUGUCGUUCCAAAUCGAGUACCGAGGAAGAUGGGGAUGGGAGUGGAAGAAGGCCGGCGUGCAGAUUCAUCACCUCCUUGUCGACCUUGACCACUCAUGACAACAGCGGAGGAGAACCCCGAGGUUUGGUUAGGCCUCACCGGCGGAGGCAAGUCGAGGGGAGGGGCGGCAGCGGGCGGCGGAGAUGGGACACUCAGCGGGCGGUUCGUCUGAUCUUUUUUCGUGCGAGGGGCGUCGCUACAUGGUCGUGGUCCGUUUUUUUCGCACGAGUGGGCCUCACUGUGUGGUCGUCGACCGGAUUGUCCGUUUUCUCUUCGUGAUGGGAUCGUCCGUUUUCUCUUCGUGAUGGCGCCGACGCCGGCAGUCUCAGAGGUCAGCGUAGGAGCACAAAUAAUUUGUUUUCCUUAAAAUCAGUUCUUUGUUUCUUGAAAAUCUAUUAUUUGUUUCCUAAAAUAAAUUUCACUAAUGAGAGAAAUCGAUUGAUUUGAAUAAGUUAGGAAAGUUAGAUUAAAAUUUAUUAUUAGGGGUCGAUUGAUUUGCAUAACUUAAGAAAAUUAGAUCCAUGAUUUGUUAUACGUUAGGAAUGUUCUGGUUGUAAAAGAGCGGGGAGAAAAAUAAACCGAUGGACCAGGAUGGGAGGGGGUGGUGGGAGGAGAGACGAAAAAACCCAGCGAAAAAAAAUCGUGGAGACUAUUCACCAACUCAGACAUUAGAAGUAGAGAUAGUGGGGGUGUGAACAAAUAGCACGCACGGGAAGUUAGGAACAUAACUUAAACUGCCAAAAAAAGCGAACAUAAGAAGACAAACGGAUUAUAUUCACCCCCCCUCGGGGGAUGGAUGGCUAUCAAUUUCUCCCCCAUUACCCCGCACAACUGCACUUGAACACUAAGGAGAAUCGGUUUUCAGACGGGAAUGAGGUGCCCGCUCUUCCUCGGAAAUGUGCCUCUCUCCCUCCCUCCCCUCUCUCUCCCACACACACACUCCGCAGCUCAUCCCCUCUAGAAAUGACACACAAAUGAAAAGGACACCCCCACACGGUUCGGAGUCCAAACAAGGAGUGGGCGGCCUACAACCUGAAUAAAAAGUCCAACGACAAAUAAACCCGACACGCACUCGCGAGUGACAGACAAAUGAGGGACACCUGCAACGUCGAGAUUCAUGCAUGAUCAGACCGACAAGAUUUAAGAAAUCAUCGAGAUUAAUUUAGGAGAUGGGACAAAUUCUAAUGACAAUUACACUUGCUAGAUUUUUCAUAGCAAGGAAGGAUGCAUUUCAGAGCUUGAAUCACAUGCUACGACAUUAUAUACUAUUCAAUUAGGAGUUAGGACAGAGUAAUUUCUAUCCAGACUUCUAAGGCAAACAAUACAAAGGAGGUAACUACGGCUCCCUCCACAUUUUCACAUCCGGGCUUGGGACCGGCAAAGGCAGUGCUAGGCCACACCAACCAAUCAUUCAGCAAAGCAUACAAGGCACACACACUCAGAGUCAAGCCACGCACAAUCACACACACAAUCAUUGUCAAAAUGCAAUAUUCACACUUCUAAGGCAAACAAUACAAAGGAGGUAAUUGCAACUCCCUCCACAUUUUCACAUCCGGGCUUGGGACCGGCAAAGGCAGUGUUAGGCCACACCAACCAAUCAUUCAGCAAAGCAUACAAGCCACACACACACAGAGUCAAGCCACGCACAAUCACACACACAGUCAUUGCCAAAAUGCAAUAUUCACAGUCACACACAUCACAGUCAAAUGCACAAUAUUCACACAGUCACACACAGUCACACAUCACAGUCAAAUGCAAUAUUUGCACACAGUCACACGCACACACACACAUACACACACAGGCAAACACACAGUCCCACACACAGACAGUCAAGCCACACACACAAGAGAGUCAAGCCACAAACAGUCAGACAGACACAGAAUGGAGCACUUGCACACAAGAAACAAACAUAGAUAGGGGCACAAACAGAAAGCAACAAGAAACACCGAAGUAAACUCAGAAAGCUAUAAAGAAAUUCCAAAACCUGAAUGACUAAACGAUUUCUCUCGAGGGGUGAGGGUGAUUCAGAUCUUCGUUCCUGAAAACAGGAAGCUGGUUAGAGGCUGAUUAAGUGAUUAUCUUCAUCACUACCCACAAGUUUGUAGGCCUAUGGACAAAAAAGAAAUGUUAAAUGCGUUCUUAUUCUACUUACUAGAGAAAGCAAGGCGUGUAACAUGAGCAACAUUCUUAUAGAAAUUUUGGCUAAGGUAAGCCAUUCCUACCUACAAUAUAUAUGUUUCAAGUUGGCAACUGUGGUUGCCUCUCAUGAGUUACAAGCCGAUGGAUAGCCUGAAAAAUGACAUGAGCAACUUAAAAUGUGAGUUUCCACAAUGUAAAUGAUGUUUCUAUUAUUCUUGAAGCAAGAAGAGUAGCUUACGUUACCAGCAGCACCAGCAGUCAUAUAUUUACAAAAGAAGAUUAAGAUGACCUGUGAUGUAAUAAGCAUCAUAUGAGUCAAAAAUACUUGGAAUCAGUUUAUGAUCAUAACAACAUAGGUAAUUAUUCCUGUGUGUAUAUCAAAGUUAUCAAGAUAGGAACUUAUUGAGUCUGUGUAUCUUGCAACUCCAAUAAUUCACCUGGUUUGUCGUCUUGCUUUAGCUAUAGGUGAGAAGAACUGAUAACAAACACUAGUAGAAAACAGGGCUUUCGUCCAGGCCUGUUUAGCCCAUUAGUCCCGGUUCAAUCCAGAACCGGGACUAAUGUGAGCAUUUAUCCCGGUUCGUGCGGCUAAGGCAUUAGUCCCGGUUCACCUGUGCCCUUUAGUCUCGGUUUGUGCCUCAAACCGGGACUAAAGGGUGCGAUGCCCAUUAGUCCCGGUUCAUGCCUCAAACCGGGACUAAAGAGUAGACCUUUAGUCCCGGUUUGAGGCACGAACCGGGACUAAUGGGGUUGAGACCUUUAGUCCCGGUUCGUGCCACGAACCGGUACUGAAGGUCCCAUUUUCAAACUCUACCCCCCCCUGUGGAUCGCCUUUUCAAUUUUAAAAAGAAUAAAAGAAAAUGAUGGAAAUGUCAAAAAAAUAAAAGAAAAUAAGUUUCCCAUGUGAUAUGUGGUCUAGUUGUUGGGGAAAUUUGCAAAUGUGAAUUUCGACUUUAUUUGCAAAAUCUCUCUGGAAUUUGUAAAUAUGGGCAUAACUUUUGCAUACUAACUCGGAUGAAAAAGUUUUUUAUAUGAAAAAUUAUCUACUCGAAAAGUUACAUCCAAAUUUAACGGGGGGAACCCCGUUAAACAUUUUCAAAAUCCUCAAAAACCUAACAGAAAAAAAGUUACGGGGCUUUUAAUAUCUAGAGUGGAAAAAAUCGGAAAAAUGACAAACUGUGGUCAAACCAUGGUCAAACUAAUUAUUCAAAAUAACUAUUGUUUUCUAAAUAAUUAUUGUUUUUGAAAACAAUAGUUUGAAACUCAAACAGUGAAAUGUGUCAAUUCAUGCUCAAGCAAAAUUCCUGAGGGUUAAUAGGAUUAACAUCUUACUAUUGUCAGGAAAACAACAAGUGCAGACUUGGAAACGAGGGAGAAUAGAACCCGGAAGUUAAGCGUGCUCAGGCUGGGUGAGUGGGAGGAUGGGUGACCGUUCGGGAAGUUAGGUGAUUUGGAAUGAUGAGGGUGAUUAGAGAAGAGGAUAAAUUGAGCAGUGAUGAGGGGUGCUGAUUAGAGAUUCACUAAUGAGGGGUUAAAAUAAUUCAGAAAUGUGAAAAUAAAAAAUUUCAAAAAAAAAUUUCAAAAAUUUUUUCAAAAAAAAAUCAUAAAAUUUCCAUUAGUCCCGGUUGGUAAAGGCUCCACGUGGCCGCGGCCUUUAGUCCCGGUUGGUGAACCGGGACAACCGGGACAAUAGGCCCUUUUUCUACUAGUGAAAUAGAAGUUACACAAAUGUAAGUACCCCAUUCCUGCAAUAUUCAGAUGUCUGAUGCACGGUAUGAUGUUCAGGAAAGAGUGAGGAAGUGGCAGGGGCUACAUCAUUCAUGUUAGGAAUCUGGUAACAAAGAGGACCAAGGUAGUACCUUCUAGGAAGAAAUUUUGCUAUUUCUGCCCAUUUAUUCCCUGGGCAUUAUAAAUGCAUGUUCCUCCUCAUAGUCCAAGCAUCUCUCUGUAUGUCUGGAUUCAGAUGAUUAUGCCACCUAAGAUGUUAUGUAACCAGUGUGUUUCUGAAUUAGCAAACAUUCCCCUGUUUGUCUUGCACAAAGGGGAAAAUGCAUUUAAGCAAAUCAUGAAAAUGAAACAAUCAAAGGAAUACCUCUCUUGACAUUGCUUGCCUAUACGUCCAGGUAGUGACCUUGCAAUGAGACCAAUUUGUUGCUCCAUACCGCAUUUUGAGCACAACUAUCAGGUGCCAAUAGGUAGUUAUGGAUACAGCACAUCUAAAAACAGAAGUACCCGGAAGUAGCACAAUUUGGCUAAAUAAACAUUUUGACAUCAGCAUCGCAAAAUAUAAAGAACAUAAAUACCUGCGUUUUAUGCAAACUCAACCCAUCAGUGUCCUUAGCAACACAAUAAAGAGCCAAUGUGAAAUGUCCAGAUCCAAUGUCUGUACCUUAAAUACUUAGAAAAGCAUUAUUCCAGUGACUGGACAACAGUAAUACAUAAAAAAUAAUAUGAUAUCCACAUAAGACAUAAUCACAAAAAGGUUCAGAAAAAAGAAUAGUGCUAGGUCUGUUCACAUUCAACAAACAGCAAAGCAAUCAAUCGUGAAAUAUAAAACACAAGUUAUACAACCAAACAUUCAGCAAAGCAUACAAGCCACACCAUCAAACAAAUGCAAUUUUCACACACAGUCGCACACACACACACAUACACACACACACAGUCAAGCCAGACACAUAUUCACCAUCAAGCCACACAGAGUCACACACACAGUCAAGCCACACACAUAUUCACAAUCAAACCACACAGAGUCACACACAGAGUCAAGCCACACACAGUCAAGCCAGACACAUAUUCACCAUCAAGNNNNNNNNNNNNNNNNNNNNNNNNNNNNNNNNNNNNNNNNNNNNNNNNNNNNNNNNNNNNNNNNNNNNNNNNNNNNNNNNNNNNNNNNNNNNNNNNNNNNNNNNNNNNNNNNNNNNNNNNNNNNNNNNNNNNNNNNNNNNNNNNNNNNNNNNNNNNNNNNNNNNNNNNNNNNNNNNNNNNNNNNNNNNNNNNNNNNNNNNNNNNNNNNNNNNNNNNNNNNNNNNNNNNNNNNNNNNNNNNNNNNNNNNNNNNNNNNNNNNNNNNNNNNNNNNNNNNNNNNNNNNNNNNNNNNNNNNNNNNNNNNNNNNNCAAGCCACACACACACACACAGAGUCAAGCCACACACAUAUUCACCAACAAGUCACACACACAUAAUGAAGCACUUGCACACAAGAAACCGACAUAGAUAGGGGCACAAGGAGAAACCUAAUACAUGCAAGAUCGAAGUAAACCCAGAAAGCUAUAAAGAAAUUCCAGAACUUGAAUGAGUAAACUGAUUUCAAGUUGGCAACGGUGGUUGCCUCUCAUCAGUUACAAUAUUGUGCAUGUUACAGCAGCACUAAGAGCUUGCUAAAGAGCAUUUUCGUCAAUCUAUCUGAGAAAAUACAGAAACUAUGUUCCAUCAAGAUCUUUGAGAAUAAAAUAUGGAGGCCAUAUCAGUUCCAAACGUGACUUGCUAAUAACCACUGCAGUACUUAAACAUGAGUAUCAAGUAGGGUAAUUUGAAGGGUGUAAAAUAGAAAUUAGGCACCACUAGACCGGCAAGGCAACAAAGAACCAUACAAGACAGAACAUUAAAAAUGAGUAAAUUGCAGAAGAGAGAAAAAAAAUCUACAACUGAAUGGAGUAAGCCUUACUCAUCCCCAAUUUGGCGUUGCUCAAUUUGAGAGAUACCAUAGUAUCGAAGUGCAGCUUCCAAGAAUUUAUGCUUUAGAUCUAAAAUUCUUGCAUAGCAUACCUACAAGAGAUAUAAGAAGGGAACUAAAUUUUUGUCCUUAGUUGUAGAUAGAUAGAUUAUUAAACUGUUUCUGAACCAAUAAACCUUGUAUUACAAGUUCACACCUUCAUGGUUGCUGUUUGUGACAAAAAAUGAGGCUUUGUUGAUAAAAGCUUCAACAUUCACUGCAUCAUCAUCCUACAAAAUGAAGAACUACGUUAGUCCAGCUGAAAAUGCAAUGACGACAGAGGCUAAAAUGGGACUAACCUCCAAAUAGAGUCAUGCAAUCUGGACGCACUUGGAUAAUUUGUUUGUCAUCAAGCAUCCUGGUUUUUAAGAAGAUGGUCAGAUUUCCCAGACUUAGAAUAUCCAAUGACAUGUAAAGAGAGACAAAAGCUUAGAAUAUCCAAUGACAUGUAAAGAGAGACAAAAGCUUUGCUUCUACCUUAUUCCUGAGUCCAAGUCAAUACCACUAAGCAUUUGUACUGCCCUCGGCCAUUGUUGUUCAAAUUCAUACAGUUCUGCAAGCUUCUCCCUAAUCACUACAACCUGCAGAUAGCGAGCAAGGUAAAUACACCAUUUUAAAAUAACAGGACACAUGUUUUUCUUCUUCAAUUUGUUCAUUUAUUACGAAUAAUUUGUUCCAGGAGAUCCAUUUGGCAAACACAAGUUAAGCAUGAUGUGGCAGAGAACAUCAACUACAUAUAAAAUCAAGUGUACCUGAUUAGCCAGGCUGUGCGGUGGCCCAGACAAACCGUUCAGUGUCCUUAGCAAUACAAUAAAGAGCAAAUGUGAAAUGUCCAGAUCCACAUGUCUGUACCUUAAAUACUUAGAAAAGCAUUAGAAUAUGAUAUCCACAUAACAGACAUAUCAAAAAAAAGUUCAGAAAAAAAGAAUAGUCAGUUGUCUGCACUAACAAGUACUGGUCUGUUACCUAUGAUCAAGUACUGGUCUGUUAGCAUAAAUGAUUAUUCGUCAAGACAAUCACUCCUGCCAUAUAAACAUGUAUCUCAAGGAAAAUUUGUAAGAGAUGUGGUUAAUUACUUGAAUAAAACACACCAUAUCAAGUAUACUAACACAGAAGUGAUAUCAAUAUUUCCACCUUCCACAUUAGAUAGUAUAAAACACACCAUAGCUAGUAAAAACACACCAUGGCCUACACGGUUUGCACCCUAAUGCAUCCCCAUAUAUGGAAAGACAGACAUUGGGAACAUAAGCAAAGCAUGACAAGAACCACCCAAUUGGAAAGAACACUAAAUAAGCAACCAUCAGAACAACCAUAAUGUAUCACCCCAUCUCUGCUUAUAAGAUGGGUGAUUCAAGAACAUAAGAACAACCGUAACAAACAACCAUAACGACCAGCGAGCCAAACCAGAGUAUCACAAGGGCGCAUGCGUUUGAGGUCUGGAAAUCGCCGACGAACAACGCAGCGACGGAACCGAGGAACCGAUCUGAGCGAACAUGAUAAACUGACCUUGCUUUGGCCUCUCCCCGUCUCUGCAAUCCAAAUCCAAAACCAGACGGGCGAACACGAAACACAGGGACACGAAACAUAAUCGUUCAUCGCUCCGCCACGAAUAUGAAACACAGGAUAGUGAGUGUCUCUCAGAUAACCAAAGCACACACAUAAGUUAAUGAUCCAACAAACUCAGAAUCAAUAUUAACUACUCAAUGAUCCAGCAAACAUUACAACAUAAUCUUAUGGAAUAGGGUGUCAGAAGCUCAAUGAUCAAUGAUCGCACUAUAAGUUAAUUGUCACAAAGUCUAGGCAAAGCAAGAAAAGCAUUUUCCAUUGACUGGACACUAGUAAUACAAAAAAAGAAUAUGAUAUACAAAAAAGAAUAAACGGAGACUAGCUAAAGGUGAGCUGACGAUAUGUGUUGGAAGUGUUUCCAAUGUUGAUAUGAUCAAGCAUCGCACGCUCCCUCUACCAUCGAGAUUGGUGUUUGCGUUGAGCAUAGACAUGAUUGGAUUACGUCUAUCGCAAUACGGUUAUUCAUUUAAGGAGAAUAAUGGUUACUCUGUUUAUUUGAAUAAUACCUUCAAUGGUCUUGCACCUAAAAUGAAUGGUUCAUUGAAUCUCGAUCAUAGUGAUACACAUGUUCAUGCCAAAAGAUAUAAGAUAGUAAUGAUAGCACCACCUACUUGUGGCACUGCCACUUAAGUCAUAUCGGUAUAAAAUGCAUGAAGAAGCUCCAUGUUGAUGGAUCUUUGGGCUCACUCGUUUUUGAAAAGUUUGAGACAUGCGAACCAUGUCUGUUGGUGUUUAUGCAUGAAGAAACUCCAUGCAAAUGGACCGUUUGGACUCACUUGAUUUUUGAAUCACUUGAGACAUGCAAAUCAUACCACAUGGGCAAGAUGACUGAAAGCCUCGGUUUUAGUAAAAUGGAACUGAAAGCAACUUGUUGGAAGUAAUACAUUUUGAUGUGUGCAGUCCAAUGAGUGCUGAGGCGUGUAGUGGAUAUCGUUAUGUUCUUACUUCACAGAUGAUUUCAGUAGAUGUGGAGUAUAUUUACUUGAUGAAUCACGAGUCUGAAUUAUUGAAAGGUUCAAGUAAUUUCAGGGUGAAGUUGAAAGAUCGUCGUGACAAGAGGAUAAAAUAUCUAUGAUAUGAUCAUAGAGAUGAAUAUCUGAAUUACGAGUUUGGCACAGAAUUAAGACAUUGUGGAAAUUGUUUCACAACUAAUACAGCCUGGAACACCAUAGUGUGAUGGUGUGUCCGAACAUCAUAACUGCACCCUAUUGGAUAUGAUGCAUACCAUGAUGUCUCUUAUCGAAUUACCACGAUAGUUUAUGGGUUAGGCAUUAGAGACAACCACAUUCACUUUAAAUAGGGCACCACGUAAUUCCGAUGAGAUGACACCGUAUGAACUAUGGUUUAGGGAAACCUAAGCUGUCAUUUCUUAAAAGUUUGGGGCUGCGAUGCUUAUGUGAAAAAGUUUCAGGCUGAUAAGCUCGAACCCAAAGCGGAUAAAUGCAUCUUCAUAGGACAACCUAAAACAAUUGGGUAUACCUCCUGUCUCAGAUUCGAAAGCAAUAAGGGAUUGUUUCUAGAAUUGGGUCCUUUCUCGAGGAAAAGUUUCUCUCGAAAGAAUUGAGUGGGAGGAUGGUGGAGACUUGAUGAGGUUAUUGAACCGUCACUUCAACUAGUGUAUAGCAGGGCACAAAGAGUUGUUCCUGUGGCACCUACACCAAUUGAAGUGGAAGCUUAUGAUAUUGAUCAUGAGACUUCGGAUCAAGUCACUCCCAAACCUCGUGGGAUGACAAGGAUGCGUACUACUUUAGAGUGGUACGUAAUCCUGUCUUGGAAGUCAUGUUGCUAGACAACAAUGAACCUACGAGCUAUGGAGAAGCGAUGGUGGGCCCGGAUUCCGAUAAAUGGCUCGAGGCCAUAAAAUCCGAGAGAGGAUCCAUGCAUGAAAACAAAGUGUAGACUUUGGAAGAACUACUUGAUGGUCGUAAGGCUGUUGAGUACAGAUGGAUUUUAAAAGGAAGACGGACAAUGAUGGUAAAUGUCACCAUUAAGAAAGCUCGACUUGUCGUUAAGAUGUUUCCCGACAAGUUCAAGGAGUUGACUACGAUGAGACUUUCUCACUCGUAGCGAUGCUAAGAGUCUGUUGGAAUUAUAUUAGCGAUUACUGCAUUAUUUAUGAAAUCUUGCAGAUAGGAUGUCGAAACAUUGUUUCCUCGACGAUUUUCUUGAGGAAAGGUUGUAUGUGAUACAACCGGAAGGUUUUGUCAAUCCUGAAAGAUGCUAAUAAGUAUGCAAAACUCCAGUAAUCCUUCUAAGGACUGGAGUAAGCAUCUCGGAGUUGGAAUGUGCGCUUUGAUGAGAUGAUCAAAGAUUUUGGGUUUAUACAAAGUUUAUGAGAAACUUGUAUUUCCAAAGAAGUGAGUGGGAGCACUAUAGAAUUUCUGAUGAGUAUAUGUUGUUGGCAUAUUGUUGAUCAGAAAUGACGUAGAAUUUCUGGAAAGCAUAUAGGGUUAUUUGGAAAGUGUUUUUCAAUGGAAAGCCUGGAUUAAGCUACUUGAGCAUUGAGCAUCAAGAUCUAUAAGGAUAGAUCAAAACCCUUAAUGGUACUUUCAAAUGAGCACAUACCUUGACAUGAUCUUGAAGGUGUUCAAGAUGGAUCAGUCAAAGAAGGAGUUCUUGCCUGAGUUGUAAGGUAUGAAGUUAAGACUCAAAACCUGACCGCGGCAGAAUAGAGAGAAAGGACGAAGGUCGUCCCCUAUGCUUAAGACAUAGGCUCUGCAGUAUGCUAUGCUGUGUACCGCACCUGAAAUGUGCCUUGCCAUGAGUCAGUCAAGGGGUACAAGAGUGAUCUAAGUAUGGAUUACAAGACAGCGGUCAAAGUUAUCCUUAGUAACUAGUGGACUAAGGAAUUUUCUCGAUUAUGGAGGUGAAAAAGGAGUUCGUCGUAAAAGGUUACGCCGAUGCAAACUUUGACACUAAUCCAAAUUAUUCUAAGUAGUAAACUGGAUUCGUAUAGUAGAACAGUUAUUUGGAAUAGCUCCAAAUAGAGCGUGGUAGCUGCAUCUAGGAGAUGACAUAGAUAUUUGUAUAGCACACACAGAUCUGAAAGGUUCAGACCCGUUGACUAUAACCUCUCUCACAAGCAUAACAUGAUCAAACCCAGAACUCACGGAAUGUUAAUCACAUGGUAAAUGUGAACUAGAUUAUUGACUCUAGUAAACUCUUUGGGUGUUAGUCACAUGGGGAUGUGACCUUGAGUGUUAAUCACAUAUCGAUGUGAACUGGAUUAUUGACUCUAGUGCAAGUGGGAGACUGUUGGAAAUAUGCUCUAGAGGCAAUAAUAAAUUGAGUAUUAUUAUAUUUCCUUGUUCAUGAUAAUCGUUUAUUAUCCAUGCUAGAAUUGUAUUGAUAGGAAACUCAGAUACAUGUGUGGAUACAUAGACAACACCAUGUCCCUAGUAAGCCUCUAGUUGACUAGCUUGUUGAUCAAUAGAUGGUUACGAUUUCCUGACCAUGGACAUUGGAUGUCGUUGAUAACGGGAUCACAUCAUUAGGAGAAUGAUGUGAUGGACAAGACCCAAUCCUAAGCAUAGCACUAGAUCGUGUAGUUCGUAUGCUAAAGCUUUUCUAAUGUCAAGUAUCAUUUCCUUAGACCAUGAGAUUGUGCAACUCCCGGAUAUCGUAGGAGUGCUUUGGGUGUGCCAAACGUCACAACGUAACUGGGUGGCUAUAAAGGUACACUACGGGUAUCUCCGAAAGUGUCUGUUGGGUUGGCACGAAUCGAGACUGGGAUUUGUCACUCCGUGUGACGGAGAGGUGUCUCUGGGCCCACUCGGUAGGACUUCAUCAUAAUGUGCACAAUGUGAUCAAGGAGUUGAUCACGGGAUGAUGUGUUAUGGAACGAGUAAAGAGAUUUGCCGGUAACGAGAUUGAACAAGGUAUCGGGAUACCGACGAUCGAAUCUCGGGCAAGUAUCAUACCGCUAGACAAAGGGAAUUGUAUACGGGAUUGAUUAAGUCCUUGACAUCGUGGUUCGUCCGAUGAGAUCAUCGUGGAACAUGUGGGAGCCGACAUGGGUAUCCAUAUCCCGCUGUUGUUUAUUGACCGGAGAGCGAUCUCGGUCAUGUCUACAUGUCUCCCGAACCCGUAGGGUCUACACACUUAAGGUUCGGUGACGCUAGGGUUAUAGAGAUAUUAGUAUGCGGUAACCCGAAAGUUGUUCGGAGUCCCGGAUGAGAUCCCGGACGUCACGAGGAGUUCCGGAAUGGUCCGGAGGUAAAGAAUUAUAUAUAGGAAGUGCUAUUUCGGGCAUCGGGACAAGUUUCGGGGUCAUCGGUAUUGUACCGGGACCACCGGAAGGGUCCCGGGGGUCCACCGGGUGGGGCCACCUGCCCCGGGGGCCACAUGGGCUGUAGGGGGUGCGCCUUGGCCUACAUGGGCCAAGGGCACCAGCCCCUAGAGUCCCAUGCGCCAAAUGGACAAGAGGAGGGGAGAGUCCUAAAGGGGGAAGGCACCUCCGAGGUGCCUUGGGGAGGAUGGACUCCUCCCCCCCUUGGCCGCACCCUUCCUUGGAGGAAGGGGCAAGGCUGCGCCCUCCCCCUCUCCCUUGGCCCUAUAUAUAGUGGGGGGAAGGGAGGGCAACCAUACCUAAGCCCUGGCGCCUCCCUCUCCCUCCCAUGACACAUCUCCCUCCUCCCGCAGCGCUUGGCGAAGCCCUGUUGGAAUCCCGCUACUUCCACCACCACGCCGUCGUGCUGCUGGAUCUCCAUCAACCUCUCCUUCCCCCUUGCUGGAUCAAGAAGGAGGAGACGUUGCUGCUCCGUACGUGUGUUGAACGCGGAGGUGCCGUCCGUUCGGCGCUAGGAUCAUCGAUGAUUUGGAUCACGACGAGUACGACUCCAUCAACCCCGUUCUCUUGAACGCUUCCGCGCGCGAUCUACAAGGGUAUGUAGAUCCACUCCUCCCUCGUUGCUAGAUGACUCCAUAGAUAGAUCUUGGUGACACGUAGGAAAAUUUUAAAUUUAUGCUACGUUCCCCAACACGCGUCGCUAGGCCCGGUGGUGGUGGGAGGACGGCGGUGGUCACGGCUGUGCGCCCAUGUCACCACAACCCUCUUUGGGAUCCUACCCAGAUCCAUGGAGGAGGCGUGGUGGCCGCGGCGCGGAGCACACGCGCAGAUGGCAUCCAAUCUGGUAGCAGGAUCAACCAUGAUGGUGGCGGCGGCUAUCUCCGGUGGUCAGGUGUCCUUCACGUUGAUCUUGUCCGAUGGGCGGCUUGGCGGCGCCUCCGUCAGAUGCGAUCUAGCCGGUGCAGCCGAUGAUGGUGGCCAUCUCCUCCGCCGGAGGUGGUCGGCCUAAGGCUGGAUGGUCAGAUCUCGAGAUCCGUCAUCUAGUUCCGGCUGCGAGUCGGGAUGACAUAGUUGCUGGUGAAAACCGAGCCGAUGGCAGGCGAUGGCGACGUUAUGCGCCGUUACCUUGAUGAAGGCAUCGUCGUGCAACGAUUGUCGAACCACUCGUGCUGCUCCGAGGGAAACCCUAGGAUCUAGUGUUCUAGAUCGGACAAUGACGGUAUUGUGGUGUCGUUUCUCUCUUGGGAGCAUCAUUUGCGGAGCAGCGCUAGAAGACAAAGGCAGGAGGUGGAGCAGCUUCGUCUUGCACGGAACUUCGGUGGAGAUGUCAAGUCACGCCUGGCCGACAGGUGCUAUAUGCUAUGUCAUGCCUGGUCGACAGGUGCUACGCACGGCAGAUCUUCCAGAAUCUUCGCGUCUGGAUGGACGAGCGCGGGGCGGUGGCUGUUGGGGAACGUAGUAAUUUCAAAAAAUUUCCUACGCACACGCAAGAUCAUGGUGAUGCAUAGCAACGAGAGGGGAGAGUGUGAUCUACGUACCCUUGUAGACCGACAGCGGAAGUGUUAGCACAACGCGGUUGAUGUAGUCGUACGUCUUCACGGCCCGACCGAUCAAGCACCGAAACUACGGCACCUCCGAGUUUUAGCACAUGUUCAGCUCGAUGACGAUCCCCGGACUCCGAUCCAGCAAAGUGUCGGGGAAGAGUUCCGUCAGCACGACGGUGUAGUGACGAUCUUGAUGUACUACCAUCGCAGGGCUUCGCCUAAGCACCGCUACAAUAUUAUCAAGGAUUAUGAUGGAAGGGGGCACCACACACGGCUAAGAAUAUGAUCACGUGGAUCAACUUGUGUGUCUAGGGGUGCCCCCUGCCCCCAUAUAUAAAGGAGCAAGGGGAGUAGGCCGGUCAACCCCUAUUGGCGCGCCAGGAGGAGUCCUCCUCCUAGUAGGAGUAGGACUCCUACUAGGAGGGGGAAGGAAGUGGGGAGGGAGAAGGAAAGGGGGGCGCCGCCCCCCCUCUCCUAGUCCAAUUCGGACCAGGGGGGGAGGUGUUGGGGAACGUAGCAGAAAUUCAAAAUUCCCCUACGUGUCACCAAGAUCUAUCUAUGGAGAAACCAGCAACGAGGGGAAGGAGAGUGCAUCUACAUACCCUUGUAGAUCGCUAAGCGGAAGCGUUCAAGAGAACGAGUUGAUGGAGUCAUACUCGUCGUGAUCCAAAUCACCGAUGAUCCUAGUGCCGAACGGACGGCACCUCCGUGUUCAACACACGUACAGCCCGGUGACGUCUCCUACGCCUUGAUCCAGCAAGGGCAGAAGGAGAGGUUGGGGAAGACUCCAUCCAGCAGCAGCACGACGGCGUGGUGGUGGUGGAGGAGCGUGGUACUCCAGCAGGGCUUCGCCAAGCACCGCAAGAGACGAGGAGGGAGAGGGGUAGGGCUGCGCCAAGAAGGAGAUUGAAUUCAUCUGUUGGCAGCCCCAAGUCCUCAAGUAUAUAUAGGGGAGAGGGAGGGGUGCGCCCCACCUAGGGUUCCACCCUAGGGGCGGCGGCCAGCCCCAAUCCCAUCUAGGGUGGCGGCCAAGUGGAGGGGGAGAGGGAGGCGCACCAGGCAUGGGCCUUAAGGCCCAUCUGCCCUUAGGGUUUGCCCCCUCUUCCCCUUAGGCGCAUGUGCCUUGGUGGGGAGGCGCCCCAGCCCACUUAGGGGCUGGUCCCUUCCCACUAUUGGCCCAUGUAGGCCUCCGGGGCUGGUGGCCCCACCUGGUGGACCCCCGGACCCCUCCGGUGGUCCCGGUACACUACCGGUGAUGCCCGGAACACUUCCGGUGGCCAAAACCAUACUUCAUAUAUAUUAAUAUUUACCUCCGAACCAUUCUGGAACUCCUCGUGAUGUCCGGGAUCUCAUCCGGGACUCCGAACAACAUUAACCACAUACAAACUUCCUUUAUAACCCUAGCGUCAUCGAACCUUAAGUGUGUAGACCCUACGGGUUCGGGAACCAUGCAUAUAUGACCGAGACGUCCUCCGGUCAAUAACCAACAGCAGGAUCUGGAUACCCAUGUUGGUUCCCACAUGUUCCACGAUGAUCUCAUCGGAUGAACCACGAUGUCAAGGACUUAAUCAAUCCCGUAUACAAUUCCCUUUGUCUAGCGGUACGAUACUUGCCCGAGAUUCGAUCGUUGGUAUCCCGAUACCUUGUUUAAUCUCGUUACCGGCAAGUCUCUUUACUCGUUCCGUAACACAUCAUCCCGUGAUCAACUCCUUGGUCACAUUGGGCACAUUAUGAUGAUGUCCUACCGAGUGGGCCCAGAGAUACCUCUCCGUUUACACGGAGUGACAAAUCCCAGUCUCGAUUCGUGCCAACCAACAGACACUUUCGGAGAUACCUGUAGUGUACCUUUAUAGCCACCCAGUUACGUUGUGACGUUUGGCACACCCAAAGCACUCCUACGGUAUCCGGGAGUUGCACAAUCUCAUGGUCUAAGGAAAUGAUACUUGACAUUAGAAAAGCUUUAGCAUACGAACUACAUGAUCUUGUGCUAGGCUUAGGAUUGGGUCUUGUCCAUCACAUCAUUCUGCUAAUGAUGUGAUCCCGUUAUCAACGACAUCCAAUGUCCAUGGUCAGGAAACCGUAACCAUCUAUUGAUCAACGAGCUAGUCAACUAGAGGCUUACUAGGGACAUGGUGUUGUCUAUGUAUCCACACAUGUAUCUGAGUUUCCUAUCAAUACAAUUCUAGCAUGGAUAAUAAAUGAUUAUCAUGAACAAGGAAAUAUAAUAAUAAUCAAUUUAUUAUUGCCUCUAGGGCAUAUUUCCAACAGUCUCCCACUUGCACUAGAGUCAAUAAUCUAGUUCACAUUGCCAUGUGAUCACAGGUCACAUCGCCAUGUGACUAACAUCCAAAGAGUUUACUAGAGUCAAUAAUCUAGUUCACAUCACUAUGUGAUUAACACUCAAUGAGUUCUGGGUUUGAUCAUGUUAUGCUUGUGAGAGAUGUUAUAGUCAACGGGUCUGAAUCUUUCAGAUUCGUGUGUGCUUUACAAAUCUCUAUGUCAUCUCCCAGAUGCAGCUACCACGUUCUAUUUGGAGCUAUUCCAAAUAACUGUUCUACUAUACGAAUCCAGUUUACUACUCAGAAUAAUCUGGAUUAGUGUCAAAGUUUGCAUCGGUGUAACCCUUUACGACAAACUCUUUUAUCACCUCCAUAAUCGAAAAAAUUCCUUAGUCCACUAGUUACUAAGGAUAACUUUGACCGCUGUCAUGUGAUCCAUUCUUGGAUCACUCUUGUACCCCUUGAUUGACUCAUGGCAAGGCACACUUCAGGUGCGGUACACAGCAUAGCAUACUGUAGAGCCUAUGUCUAAAGCAUAGGGGAUGACCUUCGUCCUUUCUCUCUAUUCUGCCGCGGUCAGGUUUUGAGUCUUACUCAAUGUUCACACCUUAUAACACAGCCAGGAACUCCUUCUUUGCCGAUCCAUUUUGGACUCCUUCAAAAUCUUGUCACGGUAUGUAUUCAUUUGAAAGUACUAUUAAGUGUUUUGAUCUAUCCUUAUAGAUCUUAAUGCUCAAUACUCAAGCAGCCUAAUCCGGGUUUUCCAUUGAAAAACACUUUUCAAAUAACUCUGCAUGCUUUCCAGAAAUUCUACAUCAUUUUCGAUCAACAAUAUGUUAACAACUUAUACUCAUCAGAAAUUCUAUAGUGCUCCCACUCACUUCUUUGGAAAUACAAGUUUCUCAUAAACUUUGUAUAAACCCAAAAUCUUUGAUCAUCAUCAAAGCGUAUAUUCCAACUCCGAGAUGCUUACUCCAGUCCUUAGAAGGAUUGCUAGAGCUUUGCAUACUUGUUAGCAUCUUUCAGGAUUGUUAAAACCUUCUGGUUGUAUCACAUACAACCUUUCCUCAAGAAAAUCGUGAGGAAACAAUGGUUUUUGACAUCCUAUCUGCAAGAUUUCAUAAAUAAUGCAGUGACUGCUAAUAUAAUUCCAACAGACUCUUAGCAUCGCUACGAGUGAGAAAGUCUCACCGUAGUCAACUCCUUGAACUUGUCGGGAAACAUCUUAACGACAAGUCGAGCUUUCUUAAUGGUGACAUUUACCAUCAUUGUCCGUCUUCCUUUUAAAAUCCAUCUAUACUCAACAGCCUUACGACCAUCGAGCCGUUCUGCCAAAGUCUACACUUUGUUUUCAUACAUGGAUCCUCUCUCGGAUUUUAUGGCCUCGAGCCAUUUAUCAGAAUCCGGGCCCACCAUCGCUUCUCCAUAGCUCGUAGGUUUAUUGUUGUCUAGCAACAUGACUUCCAAGACAGGAUUACGUACCACUCUGAAGUAGUACGCAUCCUUGUCGUCCUGCGAGGUUUGGGAGUGACUUGAUCCGAAGUCUCAUGAUCAAUAUCAUAAGCUUCCACUUCAAUUGGUGUAGGUGCCACAUGAACAACUCUUUGUGCCCUGCUAUACACUAGUUGAAGUGACGGUUCAAUAACCUCAUCAAGUCUCCGCCAUCCUCCCACUCAAUUCUUUCGAGAGAAACCUUUCUUCCUCGAGAAAGGACCCGAUUCUAGAAACAAUCCCUUAUUGCUUUUGGAUCUGAGACAGGAGGUAUACCCAACUAUUUUGGGUGUCCUAUGAAGAUGCAUUUAUCCGCUUUGGGUUCGAGCUUAUCAGCCUGAAACUUUUUCACAUAAGCGUCGCAGCCCCAAACUUUUAAGAAAUGACAACUUAGGUUUCUCUAAACCAUAGUUCAUACGGUGUCAUCUCAUCGGAAUUACGUGGUGCCCUAUUUAAAGUGAAUGUGGUUGUCUCUAAUGCCUAACCCAUAAACUAUCGUGGUAAUUCGAUAAGAGACAUCAUGGUAUGCAUCAUAUCCAAUAGGGUGCAGUUAUGAUGUUCGGACACACCAUCAUACUAUGGUGUUUCAGGCUGUAGUAGUUGUGAAACAAUUUCCGCAAUGUCUUAAUUCUGUGCCAAACUCGUAAUUCAGAUAUUCAUCUCUAUGAUCAUAUCAUAGAUAUUUUAUCCUCUUGUCACGACGAUCUCUCACCUUCACCCUGAAAUUACUUGAACCUUUCAAUAAUUCAGACUCGUGAUUCAUCAAGUAAAUAUACUCAACAUCUACUCAAAUCAUCUGUGAAGUAAGAACAUAACGAUAUCCACUACACGCCUCAGCACUCAUUGGACUGCACACAUCAAAAUGUAUUACUUCCAACAAGUUGCUUUCUAGUUCCAUUUUACUGAAAACGAGGCUUUCAGUCAUCUUGCCCAUGUGGUAUGAUUUGCAUGUCUCAAGUGAUUCAAAAUCAAGUGAGUCCAAACGGUCCAUUUGCAUGGAGUUUCUUCAUGCAUAUUCACCAAUAGACAUGGUUCGCAUGUCUCAAACUUUUCAAAAAUGAGUGAGCCCAAAGAUCCAUCAACAUGGAGCUUCUUCAUGCGUUUUAUACCGAUAUGACUCACGUGGCAGUGCCACGAGUAGGUGGUACUAUCUUAUAUCUUUUGGCAUGAACAUGUGUAUCACUACGAUCGAGAUUCAAUAAACCAUUCAUUUCAGGUGCAAGACCAUUGAAGGUAUUAUUCAAAUAAAUAGAGUAACCAUUAUUCUCCUUAAAUGAAUAGCCGUAUUGCGAUAGACAUAAUCCAAUCAUGUCUAUGCUCAACGCAAACACCAAUCUCGAUGGUAGAGGGAGCGUGCGAUGCUUGAUCACAUCAAGCUUGGGAAAAACUUCCAAUACAUAUCGCCAUCUCACCUUUAGCUAGUCUCCGUUUACUCCGCAGCCUUUUAUUUCGAGUUUACUAACACUUAGCAACCGAACCGGUAUCUAAUACCAUGGUGCUACUAGGAGUACUAGUAAAGUACACAUUAACACAAUGUAUAUCCAAUAUACUUCUAUCGACCUUGCCAGCCUUCUCAUCUACCAACUAUCUAGGGUAAUUCUGCUCCAGUGGCUGUUCCCCUUAUUACAGAAGCACUUAGUCUCGGGUUUGGGUUCAACCUUGGGUUUCUUCACUAGAGCAGCAGCUGAUUUUCCGUUUCAUGAAGUAUCCCUUCUUGCCCUUGCCCUUCUUGAAACUAGUGGUUUCACCAACCAUCAACAAUUGAUGCUCCUUCUUGAUUUCUACUUUUGUGGUGUCAGACAUCGCGAAUAUCUCAAGGAUCAUCAUAUGUGUCCCUGAUAUAUCAUAGUUCAUCACGAAGCUCUAGCAGCUUGGCGGCAAUGACUUCGGAGAAACAUCACUAUCUCAUCUGGAAGAUCAACUCCCACUCGAUUCAAAUGAUUGUUGUACUCAGACAAUCUGAGCACAAGUUCAACAAUUGAGAUUUUCUUCCUUAGUUUGCAGGCUAAGAAAAUCGUCGGAGGUCUUAUACCUCUUGACGUGGGCACGAGCCUGAAAUCACAAUUUCAGCCCUCGAAACAUCUCAUAUGUUUCGCGACAUUUCAAAACGUCUUCGGUGCCUCAACUCUAAGCCGUUUAACUGAACUAUCACGUAGUUAUCAAAAAUGUGUAUGUCAGAUGUUCGCAACAUCCACAGACAAUGUUCGAGGUUCACCACACUGAGCGAUGCAUUAAGGACAUAAGCCUUCUAUGAAGCAAUGAGGACAAUCCUCAGUUUACGGACCUAGUCCACAUAAUUUCUACUAUCAUCUUUCAUCUAAAUUUUCUCUAGGAACAUAUCUAAACAGUAGAACUGAAGCGUGGGCUACGACAUAAUUUGCGAAGACCUUUUGACUAUGUUCAGGAUAAUUAAGUUCAUCUUAUGAACUCCCACUCAGAUAGACAUCCCUCUAGUCAUCUAAGUGAUUACAUGAUCCGAGUCAACUAGGCCGUGUCCGAUCAUCACGUGAGACAGACUAGUCAUCAUCGGUGAACAUCUUCAUGUUGAUCGUAUGUGUUUCGCGUGUGUAAAUCUGGCUUACACCCGUUGCAUGUGAACGUAAGAAUCUAUCACACCCGAUCAUCACGUGGUGCUUCGAAACGACGAACUUUCGCAAUGGUGCAUAGUUAGGGGGAACACUUUCUUGAAAUUUUAAUGAGGGAUCAUCUUAUUUACUACCGUCGUUCUAAGCAAAUACGAUGUAUAAACAUGAUAAACAUCACAUGCAAUCAAAUAGUGACAUGAUAUGGCCAAUAUCAUAUUGCUCCUUUUGAUCUCCAUCUUCGGGGCUCCAUGAUCAUCAUUGUCGUCGGCAUGACACCAUGAUCUCCAUCAUCAUGAUCCCCAUCAUUGUGUCUCCAUGAAGUUGUCUCGCCAACUUAUUACUUCUACUACUAUGGCUACCGGUUAGCAAUAAAGUAAAGUAAUUACAUGGCUUGUACAAUGACACGCAGGUCAUACAAUAAAUAAAGACAACUCCUAUGGCUCCUGCCGGUUGUCAUACUCAUCGACAUGCAAGUAGUGAUUCCUAUUACAAGAACAUGAUCAAUCUCAUACAUCACAUAUCAUUCAUCACAUUCUUCUUGGCCAUAUCACAUCACAUAGCAUACCCUGUAAAAACAAGUUAGACGUCCUCUAAUUGUUGUUUGCAUGUUUUACGUGGCUGCUAUGGGUUUCUAGCAAGAACAUUUCUUACCUACGCAAAAACCACAAUGUGAUAUGCCAAUUGCUAUUUACCCUUCAUAAGGACCCUUUUCAUCGAAUCCGAUCCGACUAAAGUGGGAGAGACAGACACCCGCCAGCCACCUUAUGCAACUAGUGCAUGUCUGUCGGUGGAACCGGUCUAACGUAAGCGUACGUGUAAGGUUGGUCCGGGCCGCUUCAUCCCACAAUGCCGCCGAAUCAAGAUUGGACUGGUAACGGUAAGAAUAUUGAACAAAAUCAACGCCCACAACUACUUUGUGUUCUACUCGUGCAUAGAAACUACGCAUAAACCUGGCUCAUGAUGCCACUGUUGGGGAACGUAGCAGAAAUUCAAAAUUUUCCUACGUGUCACCAAGAUCUAUCUAUGGAGAACCAGAAGCGAGGGGAAGGAGAGUGCAUCUACAUACCCUUGUAGAUCACUAAGCGGAAGCGUUCAAGAGAACGGGUUGAUGGAGUCGUACUCGUCGUGAUCCAAAUCACCGAUGAUCCUAGUGCCGAACGGACAGCACCUCCGUGUUCAACACACGUACAGCCCGGUGACGUCUCCUACGCCUUGAUCCAGCAAGGGGAGAAGGAGAGGUUGGGGAAGACUCCAUCCAGCAGCAGCAUGACGGCGUGGUGGCGGUGGAGGAGCGUGGUACUCCAUCAGGGCUUCGCCAAGCACCGCAAGAGACGAGGAGAGAGAGGGGUAGGGCUGCGCCAAGAAGGAGAUUGAAUUCAUUUGUUGGCAGCCCCAAGUCCUCAAGUAUAUAUAGGGGAGAGGGAGGGGUGCGCCCCACCUAGGGUUCCACCCUAGGGGCGGCGGCCAGCCCCAAUCCCAUCUAGGGUGGCGGCCAAGUGGAGGGGGAGAGGGAGGCGCACCAGGCAUGGGCCUUAAGGCCCAUCUGCCCUUAGGGUUUGCCCCCUCUUCCCCUUAGGCGCAUGGGCCUUGGUGGGGAGGCGCCCCAGACCACUUAGGGGCUGGUCCCUUCCCACUAUUGGCCCAUGUAGGCCUCCGGGGCUGGUGGCCCCACCUGGUGGACCCCCGGACCCCUCCGGUGGUCCCGGUACACUACCGGUGAUGUCUGGAACACUUCCGGUGGCCAAAACCAUACUUCAUAUAUAUUAAUAUUCACCUCCGGCCCAUUCCGGAACUCCUCGUGACGUCCGGGAUCUCAUCCGGGACUCCGAACAACAUUCGGUAACCACAUACAAACUUCCUUUAUAACCCUAGCGUCAUCGAACCUUAAGUGUGUAGACCCUACGGGUUCGGGAACCAUGCAGACAUGACCGAGACGUCCUCAGGUCAAUAACCAACAGUGGGAUCUGGAUACCCAUGUUGGUUCCCACAUGUUCCACGAUGAUCUCAUCGGAUGAACCACGAUGUCAAGGACUUAAUCAAUCCCGUAUACAAUUCCCUUUGUCUAGCGGUAUGAUACUUGCCCGAGAUUCGAUCGUCGGUAUCCCGAUACCUUGUUUAAUCUCGUUACCGGCAAGUCUCUUUACUCGUUCCAUAACACAUCAUCCCGUGAUCAACUCCUUGGUCACAUUGUGCACAUUAUGAUGAUGUCCUACUGAGUGGGCCCAGAGAUACCUCUCCGUUUACACGGAGUGACAAAUCCCAGUCUCGAUUCGUGCCAACCAACAGACACUUUCGAAGAUACCUGUAGUGUACCUUUAUAGCCACCCAGUUACGUUGUGACGUUUGGCACACCCAAAGCACUCCUACGGUAUUCGGGAGUUGCACAAUCUCAUGGUGUAAGGAAAUGAUACUUGACAUUAGAAAAGCUUUAGCAUAUGAACUACAUGAUCUUGUGCUAGGCUUAGGAUUGGGUCUUGUCCAUCACAUCAUUCUGCUAAUGAUGUGAUCCCAUUAUCAAUGACAUCCAAUGUCCAUGGUCAGGAAACCGUAACCAUCUAUUGAUCAAUGAGCUAGUCAACUAGAGGCUUAAUCUAUGUAUCCACACAUGUAUCUGAGUUUCCUAUCAAUACAAUUCUAGCAUGGAUAAUAAAUGAUUAUCAUGAACAAGGAAAUAUAAUAAUAAUCAAUUUAUUAUUGCCUCUAGGGCAUAUUUCCAACAGGAGGAGGCGCGCGGCCCACCCUGGCUGCCCCUCUCUCUCUCCACUAAGGCCAAUAUGGCCCAUUACUUCUCCCGGUAGGGUUCCGGUAACCCUCCGGCUCUCCGGUUUUCUCCGAAAUCACCCGGAACACUUCCUUUGUCCGAAUAUAGCCGUCCAAUAUAUCAAUCUUUAUGUAUCGACCAUUUCGAGACUCCUCGUUAUGUCCGUGAUCACAUCCAGGACUCCGAACUAACUUCGGUACAUCAAAACUCAUAAACUCAUAAUAUAACUGUCAUCGAAACCUUAAGCGUGAGGACCCUACAGGUUCGAGAACAAUGUAGACAUGACCGAGACACGUCUCCGGUCAAUAACCAAUAGCGGAACCUGGAUGCUCAUAUUGGCUCCUACAUAUUCUACGAAGAUCUUUAUUGGUCAGACCGCAUAACAACAUACGUUGUUCCCUUUGUCAUCGGUAUUUUACUUGCCCGAGAUUCGAUCGUCGGUAUCUCAAUACCUAGUUCAAUCUCGUUACCGGCAAGUCUCUUUACUCGUUUCGUAAUACAUCAUCUCGCAACUAACUUAUUAGUUGCAAUGCUUGCAAGGCUUAUGUGAUGUGCAUUACCGAGAGGGCCCAGAGAUACCUCUCCGACAAUCGGAGUGACAAAUCUUAAUCUCGAAAUACGCCAACCCAACAUGUACCUUUGGAGACACCUGUAGAGCUCCUUUAUAAUCACCCAGUUACGUUGUGACGUUUGGUAGCACAAAAAGUGUUCCUCCGGCAAACGGGAGUUGCAUAAUCUCAUAGUUAUAGGAACAUGUAUAAGUCAUGAAGAAAGCAAUAGCAACAUACUAAACGAUCGGGUGCUAAGCUAAUGGAAUGGGUCAUGUCAAUCACAUCAUUCUUCUAAUGAUGUGAUCCCAUUAAUAAAAUAACAACUCUUUUCUUCAUGGUUAGGAAACAUAACCAUCUUCGAUUAACGAGCUAGUCAAGUAGAGGCAUACUAAUGACACUCUGUUUGUCUAUAUAUUCACACAUGUAUUAUGUUUCCGGUUAAUACAAUUCUAGCAUGAAUAAUAAACAUUUAUCAUGAUAUAAGGAAAUAAAUAAUAACUUUAUUAUUGCCUCCAGGGCAUAUUUCCUUCAGUGGCGCCGUUGUGCACCGUGGUGGCGUUGACGGAUGGACGGACUGACAAGGAUGAUGCGGAUCUCUCUCCUGAAGAUGGGUUAGCGGUCCGAUGAUGAUGGCGGCGUCUAAAACAUGUCCAUGUGUGGUGUACACUUUAGGUCUGCUGCAUGAGCUGUUCGUUCCGAUACAUUAUAUGGAUGGAUCGUCGACGACACCGGUUUAGAUAUGGGGAGUGAGAGCACUCCACAUAAUCGAGUUUUGUAGGUGUGAGUGGUGGCUUCAUAUGGUUUGAUAUAUGUUCUUGUUAGACCUUGGUGAAAUAAUAAAUAAAGAUGGUCGCAUGCAUCGCUUGAUGCAGAGGCCGGGGGUGUAAAUCUCCUUUAAAAAAAUGCUUUCUCAAGGCAAGCAAUCCAGCUUUAGAAUAUGCCGCAAACACAAUCGCCCAAUCUUAGAAAAUUCAGCGGACAGUAAAGAGACUGGAUUGGAUGGACUCGUUGAUCGGACGGAAGCAGACCAAACAUGCCUGAAACAGUCCUCUUCAACACAUCCACAAUGUCAGGGUGGACAUCUCUCCGGACUACACUAUCAAGUUUCAAAGUGAAGAUUUGUGAGCAGUACCAGUACAUCGACUCGACAUGAUUUAAGAUGCUAAUCCUAUUUUAGAUAAAUUUUCCUGUGGAAGUUCAUAAGAAUCUAUUUUUUUGUCAGUGGAAUUUAGAUAACUUCCUCACACCUGUCUGGAGACACCUAAAUCUACAGAUAAGCAAUUGUGUGUUGCUUAUCAUUUCAUCUUCCAUCUACACGUUGCAAAUUUAUGUUGAGGAGGUUCAUACAGAAUUAGUAUAUCCCGUAAUAAUUAAUUUUUAUUGCUCAAAAAAAGGCUUGGAGUUUUUUUCGCUAGCAUGGAUGAGCAUCGGCUAAUGGUUCAUGUGAAUCAGGCUAAUGUACCUUGACAGCCGAAAGAACAACUGCACAGUUUACAUGUUGAAGACAGGGCAUAACUUGUCCCACUAUAUUUUUUGUGUCCCCUGCAUCUGCUGCUUUGUAUCUUGACAGAGAAUCAAGAAGGAAAUUUUGUCCCCACCUGCAAAUUCGUCAAAAAUGAUAAGAAGUUGUGGCUACUGGAUCUAUGGGCUUUGUGCGGGAGCAGGCCCAGUCAACCACAAUGCACCGAUUUUUCCACCGGAGUAGCCAGCCUGAGGACAGCUAGCCCACUUAGCAAUUGAAGUGGGGUGAGGCAGCGAUCAGAUGGCCGCAAAUGGUCAGAAGACGAGAUCCAACGGCCAAAACUGCUAAUGGUGUGAGAGGGCCGGGAAUUGGUUCAGUUUUACGGUCCUUAUAUAAUAAUUCUCUUUCUCUAAAAAAUAUAUAGUAAUUCUCUUGAUUAUGACACCAAAGACGCAGAGUAGAUGCACCGCCAGGUACAAAGCAGGUACAAACUAAUCAUUUCCUAAUGCCUUCCAAAUCUAAUUAACAUAUUUGUGGUAGUAUGCGUGAGUGUCCGUGUUGUAUUCCCCAAAACACGACCUUAUAACAAAAAAAAGGAGUGGGAUUGUCUUGGGUACUAUUCACCACAACCGGCUCACUCUGAGAUAAAAUAUGUAGGCACAUCGGACAUGUAUGUUUCUUGAUAUGAUUCUAGCUAUGUGAUCACUAUGAACCAUGGCUGAUGAGAACUAUAUAUGCAUGAACGCUUGAUUGGGAGGUCACGAAAAAUAAAUGGCAUAACAACUCAUUGACGAGGUGGAUGGCGACAAAUAAUUGGUUUGUUGUACUUUCUAUUUAGGUUUGCUUGCGUUUGUACAACCACUUUUUCAACCAAGCGAGCCUUUUGUACUUGGCUGGAUACUAACAUUAGUGCAGUCAAGGUCAUCACACACGGUUAAAAAGAACAUACACAUAUGUGAAUCGUUGUCUUGCUAUGGUGUGCGACAUGGGGUGCAUCGUCUUGUUUGGUUGUCUGGGUGGCUCUAACAUGCAUUGCAUGGGGGAUCCUUGGUGAGCGUGGCCAGCUUGAGUGGAUGCAAGGAUGAGGUGUUUUCGCAAAAAAAAAGAUGAGGUGAGAUGAGUGUUUGGUGGACCGUGUGAUAUGGGUGCACAAGAGAUGAUAUGCAGGAGAGAUGUUGUUUGGUAGGCUGAAUAUAGGCUCAAUUCUGUUAACUCUUCUCUUCCAAUUUCAAUCAUUCCAGAACCAUUCCAUAGACAAAGAGAAGAAGUAAACAAAUUUAUAUUGAAAUCUGAACCAAAACUAAGUGUCGAUUUUAUUUACUAGGAAUUUCUGAGACAAAUCAAAAAGCUUUUCCACCAAUCUGACCCAUUCCACUGAGAUGGAGUAGAUAGCCGUGGCAGAGACCAACCGGAUGAAGAGGUGGAGGGCGACGAGAUGACUGUGGUAAAGAUGGGCUGCUGGGAGGAGACGCCAGUAACGGAGAUUCGACUGCGGCUCGUGGAGCGCAAGUGCUCCCUCCUCCCCAACCCGCUUCUUCCUCUCGGUCGGUGGCGGGUGGUGGGUCGAGCUCCGGCGGGCUUGUCCCCAGGCGUGGGUGCGCGCGGCGGCGGUAGUCGAGGAGCGCAGGAGUGGGUACGCGUGACGGCGGUGGUCAAGGAGCACAUGCGUGGGUGCGUGCGUCGAUGGCAGAGUGCGGAAGGGAGAUCGAUGAGACCAUUUAGAUCAAGGCGGCCGGGAUGCAGGGGAAAGGACCGGACGAGCUUGCACGAAGGAAACACUCGCAACCUCCCCCCUUUACACUGUUUUUCAUAGCGGACUGGCCCAUCCCACUUUCUUUCUGCUUUAACACCUGCAUCUGAGUGACUCGAACCUUACUCGUUGUGUUUAAGUAGCAUGCGCCCUAACCAACUGGAUCAGAUCACCGAUGUGCUAGUUUUCUUUUUUUAAUCUUUACUAGUACAAAUGCCCGUGCUUUGCACCGGGCGAAAAAAAGGAGCAGAACCUGCUUCAUGUGCCAUUGUGGACCAUCUUUAUAUCCAAUUUCAAUAAACGCCGAUGAUAAGGUUAAACAUGGAAACUUUCUUACUUUUAAUAAAACUUAAAUUUUUCAUUAAAAUUGGAACACUUUUUUUAGAAUAGUUAUGUUUUACGAAAUUCAAACAUUUCUCAAAAAAUAACAUUUUUUUGAACAUAUUUUGUUUUUGUUGUACAUUUCUAAAUGGAAAUAUUUUUAGUAAAAUGGAAUUUUUUGGGGAAUUUUGAAUCUUUUUAAAAAAGUGCGAACGUAUUUUUUCAAACAAAAAUAGUGUGAACAUAUGUAAAACUGUGAACAUUUUUAAACUAUAUUUGCUGUGUUAGGUUUUUUUUUGCAUAUAGUUUUUUUUCAUAUAGUUUUUUUUAGAGCAUUUUUAGGAACUUUUACAAAUAGUUGGUUGUUUAGUUGGGAAGAGUAUUUUCUCUUUUUUUUUCCAAGUAUUUUGGCUUGCCCAAAACAAAGCACUUCGCAACAGCCAGACGCUCGGCCUCAUCACAAUCAUACGCACUCUACUCCUCCAUGACCAAUCGAUAUUGCGCCGCCUCCGUCCGCAUCGCCACCUUCUCCUCCUGCAGAUUGGUGAUCAUGGCCAUGGCCUGGGCAGCCGCCACCGCCGACGUGAUCCGCUCCUCCUCCAACUCCUUCUACACGAGCGCCAUGGACUUGCGGUCCAGCUCCACCCGCCACUUUAGCUCAUCAAGCAUGCUAGUCUUCAGCCUCAGUAUCAAGCAUGCUGCCGUCGAAGACGCCCAAGUAGUUCCCUUGCAGGGAGAGCGCCCUGGUGAUUUAGAAAUAAGCAAUCAUCUAUGAUACACCGAUUAACUGGUUUCAUGUUUGUUAUCCUACUCCAGUGGCAAAAGUGUUCUCUAUUUUUGGUAAGGUGGCAUUUGAACUAAAAUGGUAGACUUCACAACAAAUUGAAUGUGACUGGUAUUUUAUCUAUCCCCAAGAACCGCACCUUACAGGAAGAAAAUCUCACUAAACCCUAAACACACAUUGGUACAGCAACUCAAGGACCAUGUUUCUCUCACUUGAUAAUCCAAAAAACAACUAAUUUCAGACUGUCUGAGAUUCUUGUUGUCAAACUGUAAAAAGCCCCCAACUCAACACAGACCAAGAAUUAAAGUACAGAAGGAACAGAAUGGCUGACAAAUUAACCGCAAUAGUUCUCGGUUCAUCGAAAGAACGACUUUUGUUUCUAAGCUAAGAAGGUUCAGUUAGAUUCAUCUCCUCAAUCGAGAGAAUGUGCUCCAGUCAAACAGCUAAGGGAAUGAUGACCAGAUAAUUGGAUAAGAUUUGGAAAUCCAGGCAACGGCACAUUCAGGCCAGAUUUAGUAAAUUGAUGAAUGACAGUACACUUUCUUUAAUUUGCACCAUCCAACACUAAACGAAACAAAUCAAAUAGAUCUAAAAUUGGGUAGUGACUUGUGAUCAUCAAUCAAUAGGAGCAGAGUAUGGUGCAGAUCUACCAAUAAUUUAGGUGCCACCGGAAACACAACUGUUCAUAAUGAUUUACCACAAACUUGAACAACCAAAAGCAGAGACCCUGAUUCAAUUUGUUUGGGUGUGCUCAAAAGCAGGGUUGCUGCCCGUAAUAAUCCAAAAACACUAAAGUCUAAACCUCUGAAUCAUUAGACUACUUGUGAGCAAAUUAAUCAAGGAGCCCUUCAUUCAGAUUCAGGGUUUAAUUAACUGAUUAGUUAAGAUCAAGUGUCAACUGGUUCACCAAUUCUGUUAUUCCCGGGAAUGUUGAUCCAGUGAGGCUAUUCUGGCUUGCAUCAAGGUGCUAGAGCUUAGAAUGGUUACCAAAAGCUGCCGGUAUCGACCUGUUUCAUGUGUUCAUGUGAUGGUCCAGGAUCUGCUCGACUCGUUGACCCUACUUGUUUACAGCCAACGAAACCUCAGAUACAUGUCUAAAGCUCAUUAGGGCUGACAGCCAUCACACAUGUCAUGUUCACCUGUUCAGAGGAAAUGGAAGUUUGCUCCACCAAGUAAACAACCUUGACAAAAGAUAAAGUUACCAGAAGUCCUUUCAUAAUCAUUUUGCACAAACGUACACCACCUAUAUUGGAGAACAAAGUUGACCUGCAACCAACAAAAUGCUCAGAUUACUACAUAAAGACAUAUCAAUUUUUACUAUGAACGAAACCUUCAAGGCAAGACUACUACAGAACCUACCACUAAGUCGAACUAUAUAUAUUUUUUACGAUUGCUAGGCAUACUCGCGAGUUCACAAAUAAUAAUAAUCCAAAAAAGUUGAAUCCUUCAUUUUUAAAAUUUGAGCAUUGGCGCAUAUCCACUGUAUGGAUUAGUCAUAGUAUCUUUUUCUAAAUCUCGACUAAACGGUGAUGCACGCACACUUAUCUUGGCUUGACCACCUGCACAAUCAGAUCUUACACUGGACAUUGGUAUUGUCUGAUGCUUCCCAUCGAACAUCAGGCAAUUUGAGAUUUACCAUUGCCCUAGGGACUUGACAUCCCAGCUAUCUUGCUCUAGCAGCUUAGUGGUACCUGACCAAAAUGCUUGGUGCAUGUUUUGGAAGUUGUUCCAAAUCUGUGCAGCUCCCUAGGCAGACUCAUAGAAGGUUGAACAAUGUUUUGUUAAUCAGUUGCAGCAUAAGUACACUUAAAAAAUGCAUAAAACAAAAUAUACCUCCUUAGGUGCAUCCUUUAUGAUUCUUGGCAGUUAGGUGAACAUAAAGAUAAUAGGAAACAUAAGAAACUGGCUUUUAAAACUUGCAUUGCAGUAUGCAAGAAAUUGAUGAUACUGUCCCCAAGUGGUCUAGGAUAACCCGGUGAUCAAAAAUACACUAACUGAUUAUGUAGAGAAUUAUAGAUUCGUGAAAUCCUUAAAUCAGUAUUUUAAUCAAACAACGUCUGUUAAUUUGGAACUAUUUACUAUUGUUGAUCGUUCGUAAGUCUAUUCAGUUACAGAAGGUUCUCAAUCAGAUUAGCCAUCCCUCUUUCAUUCAAUUAGGUUCAACAAAUUCCUUUUAUUACCUUGACAAUGCCCACUGCUGGACAGAGUUAAUAUUUUUGACAAGAAAUCUCUGUUAUAAAUGGUCCAAUUUUAUCUAUAUGUAUUAUGUAUGCCCCCAACAAUAGAAAAAAUAAUAUUGGUCCUCUUCCUCUCUAGCAAACCUUCGCCAGUGACAGGGAUAUGCCAAAUUGCCAAUGACCUUUCUCUGAUUUCUGAGUUUCAGAGGUAGAGGGUGGAACAAUUAGAAAGUCAACAAAGGGCUAGAUGAAUCUGAUUGAAGAACUAAAAGCAACAGAAUAUCUUGUUGUGCAUAAAUCAUCAAUUAUAUGUCCAAUUAGUACUGUCCAGUUAAAGUCGAAGCUAGAAUCAUAUAUCUUACAACUGUACUUCCGAAAAGAACCAUUCAACGUCAGACUUUUAUCAUUGCUAAACAUCAGUAUCUCAUAUCAUACAGUGAUAAUCCUCCUAGAUUAAGAUUAUACCAAAUCAGUGAACGAAUAAAAUAACUACAAUUUGGAGCUUCAAGCAAAGCAAACAGUUAACUUAAUUCUCUAGUCGACGGACUAUGUUGUUACCUGAAGAAUCAUCCUCCCCCUGCUGUUAGUUCAGCACCUUGGCCCCUCGUUCUUGGAGCAGCAUCCGAUACCAAAUCUCCAACCUGGUAGCCAAUUCUGGUCAACAAAUAGUAGCAUAGGAUACUUCUACAACUAAUUUAAAAUCAGACAAGAAGACAUGCUUACUGCCAUGUUGGCGUAUAUGACACUGGAACCACUCAUGCGAGCAUUGUCUAGAUGUAUCUCUUUGGGUUUAAAACUGUGAAUUUCAGAGAUGCACUUCUCUGAAAGCAUAAAGAUGCCAUAUCAGACUCAACACUUGGCUCAACAAAUCAUACUGUUCGGUGCAAGUAUUCGUACUGCUUUCAUGUGCAAAUCCAAGUGAGAGUGGUAUAUUGGUAACCCAUAUCUGAGUUGAAAACGGGGAAACAGAAGUGUGAUUUUAGAGGUGAAUACCUUAUCCUCCAGCUCAUGGUCAGAUGCGUAUUAGGCGGCAGCAUCCUGCUCGUAGGUUGUGGCUCCUCUUCCACCUCCCUCUGCGGCCCGUUGCUAGAUGGAAAAGGGAGUGCAGCAUCCGUCGUGCGACAGAUCGAUUGACCCGACUCCCGCCUCUUCCUCGAUCUCUCGCCCCCUGCAAGCUUGCGCCGCUGUGGUCCGUGCCCCGGCCGGCUCUCCAUUUUCUCCUCCUUCAUCUCCCCGUGCGCCUCCUGCCUCGCUGCCGCCGCCUGAUGCGGCACCCGAGCACAGCGCCUCCUCGACGCCUCGCUGCUGCAUCCUCGGAGCACAGCGCCGCCUCCCCGCCUCGAUGUCGCCGCCUGAUGCGGCGCCCGAGGGCACCGCCGCCUCCACGCCUCGCUGUUGCAUCCUUGGAGCGCAGCGCCGCCUCCCCACCUCGCUUCCGCCGCCUGAUGCGGCGCCCGAGCGCGCCGCCGCCUCCCCGAGCGCCGUCUCCCGCGAGCCCACCACCGCCCCGCCGUGCUGGAAAAGGGAUAAGAUAGAAGACAGGGUCGCGGGCUGAAUUCUUGGAAACGUAGGGCUUUUUUAUAAAAAUGAAUCGUUUUUUCAGAUCCACUUACAUAGGGACGGCGGGUUGAAUUCUCAUAAAACAGGGGGAUUUUUUUGCAAAAUGGCCUGCGACGGACGACCAGAAACCCUAUUCUCUUUAUUAUUAGGUAAAGAUAAAGAUAAAGAUAAAGAUAAGAUGCAAAAAACGCAACUGUUUUGAUGUUUGCUUUCCUUUUCCUUUUUCUUGUUUUCUAUCUUGUUUUUUUUCCUUUUUCCUUAAAUACAUGAAAAUUUUCAAAUACAACGAAAUUACUGCAAAAUCAAUGAACUUGUUUUCAAUAGAUGAACUUUUUCUAAAUCGAUGAACUUUUAUUCAAAUCGAUGAACUUUUUUUCAAAUUUGAUGAACUUUUUUCAAAAUCGAUGAACUUUUUUCAAACUCGAUGUUUUUUUUUCAAAUUCAAUGAACUUUUUUCAAAUGAGGUGAACUUUUUUCAAAUUUUGAUGAAGUUUUUUCAAACUCGAUGAAUUUUUUUCGAAUUCAAUGAACUUUUUUCAAAUUAGAUGACCUUUUUUCAAAUUUUGAUGAACUUUUUUCAAAUUUGAUUAAUUCUUUUCAGACUUGGUGAAGUUUUUUUCAAAUCCGAUGAACUUUUUUCUAAGAACAAGAGUACAUACUGUAGCAAACCGGGUUUUUUUCUAAGAAAAAUAGUCUAUACUGUAGCAGUUUUUGGAAUGAAAAAAAAUGGUCGAGCGGUAACCAGCGAUCGGGCGAGCGGCGGCACCCAGCGAGCGCUGCUGGGCCAGGCCCAUACUAGCGACACAGCGAGCGCUGUAAUGGCCAACGGGCGCUGAAGGGGAAAUCCCUAUUCGCCGCUUGCUGCGGCAAAAUGUCGGGCUACCGCACAGGGCAGCGCAGCGAGCGACAAACCUGGGCCAGCCCACUUAUACAUAAUGCGUCCAACCGGUUUUGGGAACCUUCUAGAAGGUUCCCUGAACCGGUUUUUUUUCUGUAUCGUUUUUUUCUGGUUAUUUUUCGGCUUUCUAUUGUUUUUCCAUUUCUCUUUUUUCGUUUCUGUUUUUUUUUACUUUUUUGUUUUUUGUUUCAUUUUCUUUUUCAAGUUUAUUUUUCUUUCUCAGAACUUGUUCACAAUUUUACAAAAUAUUUACGAUUUUCUUUUUUAUUUCUUUUCCUUUCUUCUCUUUUUAAAAAAAAAUCAAAAAAAUAUUUUUUGUUCAUGUUUCCAAAAAAUGUUCAGUUUUUGAAAAAAUGUUCUCAAAAUUAAAAAUUGUUCUUGUUACACAAAAAGUACAAAACUUUCGAAAUUCAUAAAAUGUACCAGAUUUCAAUUUUGUGUUCACAUAUUAAAAAAAUGUUCGCACUUCCAAAUUUGUUCGGGAUUUUUCAAAAUUGUUCUCCGUUUUAAAAUAUGUUCUCAAAAUUAAAAAAAUGUUCGUACUUUAAAAAAUUGUUCGCGCCUCCAAGUUCGUUCAGGAUUUUUCAAAAAUGUUCUCUGUUUCAAAAUUUGUUCUCAAGAUUCAAAAAAUAUUUGGAAAUUGAAGAAAAUGUUCCAGCUUUCCUAAUUUGUUCACAAAUUCAAUAAUAGUUCAUGUUUUUAAUUUUGUUCACAAAUUCAAAAAAUGUUCUGGAAGUUUAUAAAAGUAAACAUUUUUAUUUUUUGUUCACAAAUUCAAGAAAUAUUCCCCUUUUUCAAAUUUGUUCACGUCAUCAAAAUGUUCUUGUUUUACAAAAUUUGUAUGAAAAUUCGAAAAAUAUUUUUAUUUUGAAGAAAGUAUUCAGAAUUUCGAAAAAUGGGCUGUAGUUUUUUGGAUUUUUUGCGAAUUAAUGUUUAACAUUAGUCUCUCUCGUAUACGUCUUUAACUGUCCGGCUGCUAAGUGAGCAUGAGGUGGUCUUCGUCGCGGUGGUUAGCACGGCAGGCCAAUUGGUGCGCAGUCGUGUGUUCGAGUUACAGCGUUAGCAUGAUUUUCUUUUUUGCGAUUUUUUCAUCUAGGGAAGGUGCCGUCAGGUGCCACUGUAAAUGGGCCGGCCCACGCUAGCCGCUCCUGUGCGAAGCGCCGGCACUUUGCCGCAGCGAGCGGCCUAUAGGAGCUCCCCGCUGAAGGCGCCAAGGAGGAGGUCUCUGUGCGAUGCGGUGAUAGGAUGCAUUCAAUUUUGUAAAAGCUACCAUAUGUGAUGGGCAGACUUAUCGCACAGAAAAUGCAACACUGGUGUACUACCCCGGUAACAUUUUCUUUGUAAAGCUGCCCGCCCAUAACGGUGUAUGCUUUUGAUCGACAAAUGAUCCCUCUCGUUUCAAUUUCGUCUUCUGGGAGUUCUUGUCGUAACAGAUAGACAAGGUAGGGCAAAGUCCACUCGGGCGUAACAACUCGCACUUCUUGUACCAAAUCAAUUAUUGUCGGGACCUCAACUUCUGCAGGAACUGGCGUUUCGACCCGUGGUGGGAGCUCUUCUUUGAAUGAAUUCUCUUUGAUAGUUGGGGAGUGGAGGUGAUCAAGAAAAAUAUCUUUAGGAACAAGCUUUUGAGUGAAACCCAGCUUUGACAGAUCAUCAGCUACUUGUUUUCCUAAUGCCUCCCAAAUAUAAUUAACAUGUUUGUGGUAGUGUGCGGGUGUGGCCCAAUAUAUGUGUUGUGUUGCCUAAAACCCCGACUUUAACAAAGUAAAAUGAGGUGAAUUGUCUUGAGUACUAUCCACCAUGACUAUCUCACAAAAUAUGUUGGCACACCAGAUAGACAUCCUUCUUUAUCUUCUUCUAGCUAUGUGAUCACCGUGAACCAUGGUUGAUCGGACCUAUAUUUGAGGACGCCGGGAAAAAAAAUAAAUGUCAUAACAACUCACCGACGAGGUGGAUGGUGACAAUUGAUUUAUUUGUUUUACUUUUUUAAAACUAUAAAUGUUUGCUUGAGUUUGUACAACCACUUUUACAACCAAGUAAGUUUCUUGUACUUGGUUUGAUACUUCGAUAAACUUAAAGUAGUUGAUUUAAAAAAACAGUUGGUUCGCCAACCGCCCGGCCUCAAGCGGGUGGCCAUUAGAUUGAAGGCGGAAAAUAUCCUCCUAGUCUUCCACAAAUGUAGAAAUCGCCCGCAAAAGACGGACCCACCCGACAACACCAUCGGGAGACCUGCAAGUUUGUAGCAUCGUCGCUGAGCGUCGCAACAACCUGCCUCUGGCCGCAGCGUCCCACACUCACGGUGUUGAAAGUUGCAUUUGAAGAACCUUUCUCAAGCUCGCAAUAUUGUUUUGUCAAUAGAUGGUUGGUGCCGCUGAUUGUUGUUGUAUUUCAGUGAUUAUUGUGUUGAUUUCUUCAUUUUUCCUCUUCUUAUUCCUCUUCUUCAUUAUGGUUGGUGCCGCUGAUUGUUGUUGUAUGACUUCACUACUUGCUGGUGUGAUUGUUGGUGUUAGUUGUUUAUUUCCCCUAGGACACAAUGUGUUGGACCACUAACACAAGGGUUUGUACCAAGUAGCAAAUGUUCCUCAAUGAGAGUGAAGGUAUCCAUCCAUCUGUGGAGCUACUAAUGUAUAAAGUUCUAGGAAGUAUUUUUAUAUUUUCAGAAUAAAUACAAAAUACUCAGAAGGCAUCUUUCUCCAUCUCCUCAUAUCUCUCAAAUACUCAAGGGGCAUCUGGAGCGAUAUGGAUUCCUCAAGCCCAACCGACUCAAUCAUCAUGGUCACAUACGUGGCUAACGGCAUCCGCGAAGUCACGACAUUGAAAGUCACAUCAUUGAAUUCAGUCACAUGUACAUUCGCAUUCUUUAAAUUGAACCAAACAAAUCAAAAGGAACAAGCGAACAAAUUUCUUAACUACUUGGCAUUGCACCGAACACAUGUGGAUGGCUCAGGUUGACCACCACCACAAAGGCCAUCAAGCCUUCUUCUUUUUUCGGCUUCUCCUCUUCUUCAGGUGUGCCGCAUGACCAAAGUCUCCCCUGCCUAGCGGAGCCUAUGGGUUAUAGGCAACUCAAUGUGCAAAUUGUAAAAAAGAAAUACCCGGUCAUUGAUGGUCUUUUGGGUGAGCUACACGAUUGUACUGUGUACUCAACAAUCGUUUAUCUAUUCCCACAUCUAUUCACUAAUCAUGGAAUUCGUUAUGGACAGAAGGUCUGUAGAAGUGAAAGUAGGAUGAUGGGAGGAAAAAGAAAGGAGUACCAGAAAAGGAAGGUUUAGGACUUUCUGCCCACGAAGAAAUAGUACGUAUCGCAUUUGAAACAGGAAAUAUUUAAUUUGGAUAUUAAAUCUGCAAGGAAGGGAAUAAUCCAAACAAAUGAGAACAUACUAGAUAGUUCGAAUUUCAUCCAUUAGGGAGGGUAUGACACACUUGUCUUUCACAAUCAAGUCUUUUCUUUUUAUGGAGCCGACGUUGUCGAUGGUGUUGGUCGUCGUGAGUGAUGGGCGACCACACAACACGAUUUGGUUAUUUUCAUGUGUUAAUUAAGUCUUAACACGAUGCAUACAACGACAUGCAAUCAUCUAGUUCGUCUAAUUUUGUUCGAAGUUGUUCUCACACAUGGUUUUCUCAAACUUUAGGUUAGUUCAUCUUCACUGAUUUGAGGUGUGCAAAGAGGAGCUCGAGAUUUUCUUCACGCGUACGGAGUCCCUCUUUGCUUUACCGCACUACGGCACCUGAUGCCAAUACGGUCCAUGUAGUCACUAGUAGAAAACAUGGCUUUGGUUUAGGCCAGAAAAGGGCAUUAAUCCCAGUUGUCCUACGAACUGGGACCAAUGGGUGCAUCAGUCCCGGUUCAUGAGGCCAAGGCGCCGGCCGGGCCUCGGGGGCCAUUGAUCCCGGUUCUUCUGACCCCUUUGGUCCCAGUUCCAGAGACAAACCGAGACCAAUGGGCCUCGCUCCUGACGCCACACCUUUAGUCCCGGUUGGUGGCUGGAACCUGGACUAAAUGUCAGUCUUCUGUCCCGGUUCUAGCCACCAACUGGAACUAAAGAGAUGCCUAUAUAUACCCUCGCCCCUGCCCGCUCGCUCCUCUGUUUUUUUGGCCGUGUGGGAGGUGUAUGCAUGCGCUGCUCUGUAUCCCUUCUAUGCAUGCACAUGAGGUGUUCGAUGAAAGAGAGGUCACUUCUCUCUAUUAGUUAGCUAACACAAUAUGAAACCCCUAAAUUAACCCUCCAAAACCCCUAACCCCCCUCCCUUUCAAAAACGACUAAAACCCCAGCGCCCGCGAGCUGCUGACGCGUGGCUGCCUUUUAGUCCCGGUUGGUGUUACCAACUAGGACUAAAGGUUCUCCUGCCUGGAUGCCCCACAGCGGCCACAUGGAGCCCCUUUAGUCCCGGUUCAUAAGCCAACCAGGACUAAAGGUUGUGGGCAUUAAUCCUUGUUAGACUUUGUAACGUAGCCCAAUUGUGUAAUCUGUAUAUUGUGUAACCUUAUAAAUAUAUGUGAUAGGCCACCCCUAGAGGGUUGAGCCAGUUCCCACAAACCCUAUGUUUAACAUGGUAUCAGCCUAAACCCUAAGUCCUACUCCACCUCAGCCGCCGCCGCCGUGCCCCCAACCCUAGGGCCGCCGUCGCCGCAGCUACCAUGACCGCUUCCGCCUCCGGUUCCGCCAGCUCCGGGGCCCUCCCCGCCCUUCUCAAUCUCCCCGCCCAUGCCAGUGCGUCGCCGCGGCCCCAAUUCUUCGGCACCACCACCGUUGGCUCGAUGUUCUCGGCUCCGAUCCAGCCAUCUCCCGCGACGUCGACGGUGGCGGCCUCCACCGCCGCGAUGAUGGCGCCACCCACGGCCCUCGCUGGUUCGUCCCCGACACUCCCCAUCCUGCCGGCGGCCUCGGGGGCCUCCGAUGAUCUGCUCGCGGGUGUGGCACCCGCAGCUCCUGCGGUGUCCGCUGUUGCUACCACUGACGCCGCCAUGUUCUCCGGGCCUUUUCACUUCGACAACCUGAUCACCACUCGUCUCACGCCGGACAACUAUUUGUUUUGGCGUGCCAAGGUUCUACCGCUGCUCCGCUGCCACUCCCUCCUUGGCUAUGUUGAUGGUUCCUUGCCAUGUCCGCCGCAGGUUAUCCCCACUGUCCACGGCCCGGCCAUCAACCCGGUGCACCGUGUGUGGGUGCAGCAAGACCAAGCGAUCCUCUCCGCCAUCCAGGGCUCCCUAGGAGACAGGGUCGCCGGCCUUUGCCUCUUUGCUGCCUCCUCCUUGAAUGCGUGGACGACUCUGGAACAUGCGUUUGCCCAGACCUCCACCGCCCACUCGAUGGCUCUUCGCAGCAAGCUCGAUGACAUCAAGAAACUGGACUCAUCUGCCACAACAUACUUCAACAAAAUCAAGGUCUUGGCGGACACACUGACCUCUAUUGGUCGACCGCUGAGUGAUGAGGAGUUCGCCGGCUACGUUAUCAAGGGUCUCGAUGCCGAGUACAACAACCUUGCCAGGGCCGUCCACAACGCCAAGCUACCGCUUCCUCCGCAUGAGCUCUUCUCCCGUCUGCUCUUCACCGAGCAACGCAUCGAAGCUCGCCGAUCCGUCACCACCACCCCGACCAGCCAGCGGCCUUUUGGGCAUCACGUGGCCAACGCCCACCUACGCCCUCUUCGCCUGCCCGGCUUGCCACCCCCCGCGCCAGCCUCGGGUGGGGGCCUCGUGCGGUACCAGCUUUGUGGCCAUGAGAGGCACCUCGCCUCCAAGUGCCACAAACGAUUUCAGCGGAGCUUCCUUGGCAUCGGUAAUGAUGGCAAAGGCAAUGAGUGCCAAUUUGCCAUGGCAGAUUCUGGCCCUCCUGCUGCCCAUGUUGUCGCCAAGGGCAAGGACACACGCGUCGACCAAGGUUUUACACCGUCAUACCCGAUUGAUCCCGCAUGGUAUAUGGACACCAGCGCCACGAAUCAUAUGACGAACGAGCUCGCCAAGCUGUCCACUCACCAGCCCUACUACAGUCACGACAAGGUUCACACCGCCAACGGUGUAGGUAUGCCCAUCUCUCACGUUGGUCAAGCAUAUCUCUUAACUAGUCAUCCAUCUAGGCAGCUUCCUCUUCAUAAUAUUUUACGCGUCCCCUCGGUGACUCUUAAUUUGUUAUCUGUUCCAAAACUCACUCUUGAUAACAAUGUCCUAUGUGAAUUUCACCCAUUUGAUCUUUUUGUCAAGGACCGAGCCACCCGGUAAAUUCUGCUUAGCGGCCGCCUGAGCCAUGGCUUAUACCGCUUGGAGGAUCCAUCCGCCCCGCACGUCUUCAGCGAUGUUCGUGUGUCGCCAUCUCAGUGGCACUCUCGCCUUGGUCACCCCGCCACUCCCAUAGUUCGUCAUAUACUUCACCGUCAUGAGCUGCCUAUCGAGUCUAGAAAUAAGGAGAUGUCUGUGUGUGAUGCCUGUCAACAAGGCAAGAGUCAUCAAUUACCAUUUGUUUCCUCUACUCGGGAAGUCAGAGUCCUCUUGAGCUUGUGUUUUUUGAUGUCUGGGGACCCGCACAAACAUCUAUCAGUGGUCACAACUACUAUGUUAGUUUUAUUGAUGCCUAUAGUCGCUUUACCUGGCUUUAUCUUCUUAAGCGCAAAUCUGAUGUGUUUGAUAUAUUCAUUCAGUUUCAAGUACAUGUUGAACGUCUUCUCAAGCAUAAACUUAUUCAUGUUCAGUCUGAUUGGGGGGGGGGGGGCGAAUAUCGCAACCUCAACACUUUCUUUAAUAAGCUUGGGAUCUCUCAUCGUUUAUCAUGUCUCACACACAUCAAUAGAAUGGCGCUGUUGAGCGCAAACAUCGACAUGUAGUUGAGAUCGGACUCACACUCCUGGCUCACGCCUCCGUGCCGUUUCGUUUUUGGAGUGAUGCCUUUGCUACCGCGUGUUUUCUUAUUAACAGACUACCUACGCGUGUUCUGAAUAUGAAAACUCCUAUCGAGCUUCUUUUACAUGAAACUCCUGACUAUACCUUCUUUAAGGUGUUCGGGUGUGCCUGUUGGCCUCAUCUUCGUCCAUAUAAUCAUAGAAAGCUUGAAUUUCGAUCAAAAAUGUGUGUUCCUGGGUUAUAGUUCUCUCCAUAAAGGCUACAAGUGCCUUCAUGUGCCAACAAAUCGUGUCUAUAUAUCCCGUGAUGUUGUCUUUGAUGAGAACGUCUUCCUCUUCUCCUCCAUGUCGCAGCAACCCACCACACCUCCAUCUAUGCAUUCAUCUCCUAUUAUGCUUGGCCAAUUUGAAGAUGUUGCAUAUUCGCCUGUGUUGUUACCUAAUCAUGGUGCAGGAAUUGGACGCGGUGCUCGCUUGGAACUACUCACUGAUGCAUAUCCUGAGACGCACGUCGAUCGGCCGGUGCACGUGCAUGCACCGCCUCCCGCCUUCGACCCCGCCUUUGGAACCCCGCCUGCCCAUGCAACUAGGCCGGCGCCUGCGAUGGCCUUCGUACCUGGGCCGGUGUCCGUCACGGCUACCUCUGCGCGGCCCGCGUCACCAAUGGCCUUAGCCGAGAGGCUCGAGCGGUCCUCAUCACCGUCUCCAUGUCCGGCUUCGCCUCCGUCAUCGCCUACGUCGCCCGCCCAUACGUCUUUGCCGCCCCUCUCACCUGGGUUGGCUGAGCCUCUCAUCGCCUCGCCUGGGCCCCCAUCGCCCGAUCCUCCUUCACCGACGCCUCAAGGAUCGGUGCCUCCUGCUCCUGUCAUCGUUGCACCGCAAUGUCCGCAUACUCGCAGCCGCAGCGGUAUUGUUCUUCCCAAACAGUGUCAUGAUGGAACUGUCACAUACCUGGCUGCUUGUCUUGCUCAUGCUGUUGUAGAUCCCACCGCUGAACCACACAGUCAUGAGGCCGCUAUGAGUAUUCCUCACUGGAGAGCUGCUAUGGAGGAAGAGUACCACGCUCUUAUGCAUAAUGAGACCUGGACACUGGUUCCCCCUCCACCUCGCGUAAACAUCAUUGAUUCAAAGUGGGUUUUCAAAGUCAAGAGACAUGCAGAUGGUUCUAUUGAGCGCUACAAGGCGUGUCUUGUGGCCAAGGGGUUUAAACAGCGUCAGGGUCUGGACUAUGAGGACACAUUCAACCCCGUUGUUAAACCUACUACUAUUCGGCUUCUCCUGUCUCUUGCAGUCUCUCGUGGUUGGUCUCUUCAACAGCUCGAUGUGCAGAAUGCUUUUCUUUAUGGGCUGCUUGAAGAGGAGGUUUACAUGUGGCAGCCACCAGGGUUUGUUGAUCAUGCUCAGCCUCAUCAUCUCUAUCGUCUGACGAAGGCUCUCUAUGGACUGAAGCAGGCGCCCCGUGCCUGGCUUGCUCGCCUUGCUUCGGCCCUUCGUACUCAUGGCUUCGUUCCGUCGACAGCUGACAGCUCGCUAUUCUUAUUUCAGCGCCCCAGUGUGACUAUGUAUUUGCUUGUGUAUGUGGAUGAUAUCAUUUUGGUCAGCUCCUCUGCAACGGCUGCUGACUCUCUUGUGACUGCACUUGGCAGAGAUUUCGCGGUUAAGGAUUUGGGACGGCUCCACUUCUUCCUGGGUAUUGAAGUUGCGCAUCAGUCUCGUGGCAGCUUAGCUCUCACCCAGAAGAAGUACUCCCUUGACCUCUUGCGCCGCGCUGGUAUGCUCAAGUGUAAGCCAUCCCCCACACCAAUGUCCUCCACUGACAAGCUCUCGGCUACUGCUGGUACGAUCUUGUCUCCUGCGGAUGCAAUGGAGUAUCAAAGCUGUCAGUUGGUGGCUUGCAGUAUCUGACGAUCACACACCCUGAUCUUUCCUUUGCGGUUAACAGGGUAUGCUAGUAUCUUCAUUCACCUACUGAUAUGCACUGGUCUGCUAUGAAGCGCAUUCUUCGUUAUGUGCGUCUCACUGUCUCCUAUGAUCUUCAUCUGCGACCCAGUUCCUCUGCCGUUCUAUCUGCGUUUUCAGAUGCUAAUUGGGCUGGGUGUCCGGAUGACAGGAGAUCCAUGGGGGGAUAUGCUGUAUUUUUGGGUCCUAAUUUGAUCGCCUGGAGUGGACGCAAGCAAGCCAAUGUUUCUCGCAGCAGCACAGAAGCCGAGUACAAAGCAGUUGCUAAUGCGACUGCUGAGCUUAUCUGGAUCGAGUCUUUACUUCGAGAGUUGGGAAUCUCCCAGUCACAUCCUCCGGUUCUUUGGUGUGACAACGUCGGUGCUACGUUUCUUUUGACAAACCCGGUGUUCCAUGCACGGACCAAACACAUUGAAAUUGACUAUCAUUUUGUGAGGGAACGUGUUGCACAGAAGCUACUACAGAUCAAGUUUAUCUCCUCGAAGGAUCAACUUGCUGACAUCUUCACCAAGCCUCUACCUUCUCCCAUGUUCGAGGUCUGUAGGCGCAAUCUCAACCUCCUAGAUGCAUCAGGAGUGAGUUGAGAUUGAGGGAGGAUGUUAGACUUUGUAACGUAGCCCAACUGUGUAAUCUGUAUAUUGUGUAACCUUAUAAAUAUAUGUGAUAGGCCACCCCUAGAGGGUUGAGCCAGUUCCCACAAAUCCUAUGUUUAACAGUCCUGACCAUUUUGUCCCGGUUCUAGAACCGGGACUAAAGGCCCUCUGGAACCGGGACUAGUGCCCUGUUUUCUACUAGUGAUAAUGUGCACUUCAACUGUUCAACAUUCAAGUUGAGUUCUUUUGAGAUAAAUCAAAAGAUCCUUGAUUAAUUUCUCCAGGGGGUAUAGGUCUAGACUGACAAUCUAAUUAGUUUUCUGGUCAUUUGUUUGGAUAUAUAAGUUGUCACAUAAUUUGUGUCUUGUGUGAGAGUCCGUACUAUAAAAGUUGUGUGGGUUAUUUCCGGUAUCUUUCUGUACUUAGCAACAAAGCGCUUGUCACAUAAUUAGUUUUGUGGUCAUUUAUUUGGAUAUCUUCAGUAGUUUUAAGGCCGCGGGAUGUUGUGUUAGCAACAGACAAUUUGAGAUAUCUUCCUGCAGUGAAAGCAAAAGCCAUGCAAGCAAAACUUGACAAAUGAUGAGCUGAUGAGUUGUUCGUGGUGGUAUUUGAAUAUUUGAUCUGUUUCGUACCUGCAUAUGUGGUAUGGUUGCUCAUCUCAGUGAGGCAGGCAGAUUGCUGGAAUUUUGCCCAAGCCCAACACAUCAUAUGUUCGCUUGGGAUUUCAGUAUCCGCUGUGUCUAAAUUUGGAACAAUCCAUGUGUUUGCAUGCAUGGCGUAAUUCAAAUAUGUGAUGGAUCAACCAAAGCUGCGAUCCAGCUCUAUCGUUGGUGUUGGUUUUUGACGCCAAGCGCAGGCUUGCCUGUGGUCCUAUGUAGUGCUAGUUUUGUGUGAUAUGCACACAUUUAUUCCCGUGUUUACAAUUCCAUGAUUCCGUCGUAGUCUAGGUGGUUAGGAUACUCGGCUCUCACCCGAGAGACCCGGGUUCAAGUCCCGGCGACGGAAAAUCUGUGUUUUUGUUUUUCUAUUAUUUCCCUAAAGUUGAAUGAUCAUUUUUCCUGAUCUUAGUGAAGGAUAAAUGCAUCUGCUAAUGUGCUGUUCAUAUCGAAGCUACUUCUGUUACAUGCUCACUGUUGAAUAUAGGAAAGACAGUUUGUCACCCUGAACAGCUUGGUGAAAUUAUCUUCAUUUUGAGAUUGUUUUGUAGUUUUUGGUGAAAGCAGUUUGUGAUGGUGGCCAGUUUGUGAUGGCAGUCCUAACCUUUUGCUCAUGUGUUGCAUGGUGGCUAGUCUGGAAUUCAGAGAUGUGUUAUGGAUCGAAGGUUUUCUUCUAUCAUUUCUAGCUUUUUAAGCUUAUUAGGAGGUGUGCACUCACUCUUAACUACUGUCGACGUUCAGAAUGUGACAACAUCAGCAUCAAAUGUAUUCUUCAGCUCAUCUGAAAACCUUUUGCUCGUUUCCGGAUGAGCUGCGCAAACUAGAUUCACUUCACUUGUUGGAUGUUACGAUAGAUAUCUGAUUAUUCGAUUCUGAUUUCUUGCGAUAACACGUUGCAAUCAGUUGUGCUAUGAACUUUCGAUUGUACUGUUAGAAGCCGAUUGCUGUUUAAUCACCAUCUGCAUUUACGGUAUGCUUACUGAAUCAGAUUGCAGAACAUUCAGUGAAUUGUCUGAAUAAGAAUGCACUUUACCUGCAUUUUUUUCAUACCAAAGCCAGCGGAACUGAGUCGUGUAAUUUCCAUACCGUCUGCAACUUCUACUGCAAGUUCCCGCAGUCAACACCGGACCAACACUUUCGGGCUUUCGGCUUGUCAUCGUAGGAUUCCUUAUAGUUGCUCCUCCUGUCAAGUUUUCUCGACGCCUACCCUACAAACCACGUCCGCCAUUAAUUUUCCUUCGUUGUUUACCUUGGCCAUGGCUAAAAGCUCAGCAUUGGUGGCGGCAGGGGAGUGUGUACCCGAGAUCACGUCGCCCAGAUGGGAGCACCGCGACGCUCACUCUCGAGGUGACGGAUUAGCUGCAGCUAAGGGCAUGGGCGUCGGCAAGAUCGUCAGCGCGACCACCGCAAAUUCGUUGGGGAGUCUAAAGGUCUGUUUGGUUCCAAAUUAGUCAUCAAUUUAUAAGUCGAAAAAUGAAAAAAGUGACUUAUUUUGCCAAACAGACCUAACUUAUAAGUCACCCCAACUUAUAAGUCAUAAGUUGCUCCACCCCAACUUAAAACUUAUAAGUCACCCCUUUUGCGUGGGUCCCAUCACCUUUACAUUAAAAAAAGGUAGAAAUGUGUGAUCAGGUGACUUAUAAGUCAGGUGACAACCAAACAGACGUGACUUAUAAAUCACUGGUUUUAAGUCACCUGACUUAUAAGUCAGAUGACUUAUUGAAACCAAACAUGCCCUAAGCUGGAAUAGUUGGCGCUACUCGGGGACGGCCACGAUACAGUGCGUCCUCACUGUCGUCACGGGCAAGUCGGCCCAGGUGAACAAGCAAAUCAUUUCGUGAUGCCUCCCAAAUCUAGUUAACAUGCUUAUGGUACUGUGCGCUUGUGGCCCAAUAUAUGUUUUUGUGUUUCCUCAAAAGUCAAAACCCAACGUUAACAAAGCAAAACGAGGGGAAUUGUCUUGAGUACUAUCCACCAUGACCACCUCACUUGGUGAUAAAAAUAUAUUGGCACACCGAAUGGGUAUCUUUCUUUAUCUGUUUCUGGCUAUGUGAUCACCGUCAACCACAGUUAAUGGGACUAUAUAUAUGCACGAACAGUUGAUGGGGAGGCUGGAAAAUAAAUAAAUGUCAUAACAACUAACCGACGAGGUGGAUGGUGACGAGUCAAUGAUUUGUUGUACUUUUUUUUAAA
rnacentral:lncRNA from 1 species